AUCCUCUCUUGCCUCUCAUGCCUUUUGUCCUGCUCUUGAUCUGAACCAUCCAUCAAUUAAUUUGUGUUGUUGAUUGCUCAUAGUUGACUGAAAUUAAUGGUCCAGAUCGCGCAUCACCGUCAUGCGGCAGCAGAGAAUCCGGGUCCGUCUAAUGUAAUAGUAUGCACUUUGUAUAUCUAACCAAACAAAAAUCUUACAAGUUUCAAAUUACAAUACAUUUGAGCAUCAAUAGGACCAGAUACGUAACAGAAUUCACGGAAGUUGUCACCAAUUUCUCUUUACUUUCAUGUACAAGUACAUCUCUAAGUUUAAGCUAAACCACACAAUACAUCUCAGUACAAACAAGUAUGAAUCAACUUUUUGGUUGGUAAACUAGGUAUCUUUGACGUACAAAUGUAAAUGCCAAUUCUUCGAGAUAAUUGAGAUCCAUUUAAAGAACUGACUACUUCCAACACAUGUUUUUCCAUGCGUAUCGACCAAAGAUCGAACUUUGAAUCAAAUGGUGAAACGAUUCAAGCCUCUACCAUUUGUGUCACACAAUGUUGGCAAUAUAAAUCACUUAAAACGCGUAUUUCGUUCGAUUAAUCAUGGUGGUGAAAAAUAAACUAAAUCUAUUGGGUGAGUAUUUGCCUCUUACCUAAUACUCGAACUUCUCGAAUUAGCCCUACAACUACUAGUCAUGGGGAUAAAUCCUUGACAUGGAUUUAAAUUGCGGUCUACAACCGCAGUUGCAAUAUAAAUGAUUCUGAAUUUUCCGCAAUAGUAACACAACUGCAAUUUCAACCGUAUCGACCAUGUUUUUCGACAAAUUAAAAUCAUCAUCCCGGAUAAUACAAUACACAUGUAUAUCAUGCAUGCUAUGUAGUAUGCUAGUAGCAAUUCUUGAUUUUCAUGUGUUUCCUUUGAGCUGCUUAUGUAACUGUUUCUUCCCUUAAAAGUGCCUCAAAAGUAUCCCAAAAUGAAGGGAAAAUAAUACACAAAAAUUUAAACCAAAAUUAAUCAAGAUUGAGGACAAAAAGAAAAACACUAAUUACAUGUACAUUUUCUAUGUUGGUAGAAAGAAGUAUGAUAAUUCUCUAUGGUUUCCCCUUUGAGUUGUGUAAUUCAAUACCAUUAUGCUCCCUUGAAGGACCUGAAGGUGGCCUUGACAUUGCUUUUGGCUUUGAGUCUAAGAAACUUUGAUGUAAACCUUGAGACUUAGCCUUCACAUAUAAAGCUUGAGUGUGUCUAGCACAAUUGCUAGGACCAACAAAAUAUAUAAGCAAAAAAAGUAGAAUUAGCAAUACAUGAAGAUACUUCCUACCCAUUUAGCACAACUAAUGGCUUGUUUGGAUUGGUGUCUGGUGAUAUAUUCUUGCGUCCUUAUGCAAGUUCAAAGUGAUUUUAAGAAGCUGGUAUUCCUAGUUUCACUGCAAAUGCAGAUUGUUGCCAAGUGAGCAAGCCUUUUACCCUAAGAAAAUACCACAAGAAGAGAAAGAUAGGAUGAAGAGAAAAAAAGUGAGAGAAAGAGAGAGAAGAGGGUUGUGUGAAAAGAACAAUGAAUGAUGCAAAGUAGAAGUUAUAGGGUGCUUUUUAGGGGUAAGAGUGAGUGACUUAAUUUUUGUGACAGUUAUAAAUUAUUGGAAGAAUUUAAAGGAUACCGGUAAUGAAGGAAGAGUGUAUGCGGAACACACGGGGAAAAUAAAUGCAAGAUCAUGCGAUUUAAGAUUUGGAGGUAGGAAUCAAAUUUGUGUGUAAUGUUUUUUUUUGGCUUCUACCAUUAAAUGAGACAACAUGAGUCAAUAGUUCUUUUGUCUAUAGAGACAAGGAAAGCCUGUUUAAGAGGACUUAAAUGGGUCAUUAGGAUAAUGAUUUUAUGCACUUAGGGUACCCUAAUUUCAAUCUUGGUGUUUUGGAUAUUUAUUUUCGUCUAUAGAUGAAGUGGUAAUGACCACCGAAGCUUAUACAUGCGUUACAAGAUCUCACGUUUAAACUCGGAUGAAGGUGUUCAACCUAACGAUUUUGACAUUGUCAGUUGAGAUACUGGUAGGUUUUACGGGCGGUAUUUUAAAUUUUAAUUGAUCAUCACAUUAUAUAAAAACUAUGAUUUUUAAUAUCUCAAAAUAAUUACAUAUUGUCUCUUAUUAUCAUUUGCAAGUUUUUUUUUUUGGCACAAGGAUUCUCAAUUGAGGAAGAAUCGCAAACCAAAAAAGUUCAUCAUUUAUCACUAUUUGUGUUUUAAAGUUGUUGAAAGACUAUUAACGAUGAAUUUCUAAUAUCAUUGAUAAACCGACAUGCCUUGAACGAGUCACAGACGAUCAAGAUUUUCUUCAAUUAGAAUAUGUUUAAUCUAUGUCGUCAUAAGUCAUCAUUAUAUAAAGAUAAGAAGGUCCAAAUUUCAAACACAUUAUUUUAGAUAUUUCAACUAUAUGGUAUCAAUUUUCAAGCAUUAGAGAGUGUCUUCGGUUGAAAUUUGGGGCCUAACUCAUCCUUACAAAAUCAGCUUGUAAGAUGAGGAGUGUCUCAAUCUUAUCAAUAGUCUCAUCUAUCUGAUGUGGGACUUAGGUUUUUCCCAAUACAUCCUUUCACGCCCAACACUCUUUGGGCUUGUGCGUGAAUAGGUAGGUGGCCCUUGAAUUCGACAUGCUCUGAUAUCAUGCUGAAAUUUGGGGCCUAACUUAUCCUUACAAAACCGACUUGUAAGGUGAUGAGUGUCUCACUGUUAUCAAGAGUUUCAUCUAUCCGAUGUGUAAUUUGGAUUUUUCCCAAUAACUUCAUAGUCAUAAAAGUGAUGAUGAAUACACAUAGCAGACAAGAGGAUAUUGCCAAGUUAAUGAGUUAGAAAUUAGAAAAUGAAGAAAAAGGAGAGAAAUUGUACCUUCUUAUUUAAAAUAUUUGUUGUGCAAUAGUAUCUUGAGAGCAAAAAAUGGAAGUUGUCGUUUGGUUAGGUGAGUUUGUGGGCCAGCAUGGAAAAUAAUGGAUGAGUAAAGAAAGUCUAAAACUAUAGUGCAAAGUCUUACUGCAAGAUUGAAAUUUAUUACUAUAUUAAAAGCUCUGUGCACUCUAGAUAAAAUGCUCUUUUUAUGCUCAACUAUAAUCCAAUUUACUAUCUAUAAACAUCAAGAUUGGUCUAACUGACAAACAACGUAAGAUUUAGUGAAAAUUUCGUACUCAUAGUAUGAUAAAAAUAAUGAUGUCUGUGAACAAAUUAUGAAUUCUAAUUAGUUAAGUUAAUUUAACUUUCAUAAAUUCAUAACUCAUUUAGGCUAACCUAGUUGGUUUUAACCGUGAUCUUAAAAUGUACUUCUCUUAGAGUCUAAUGUUUGAUUCUCCAAAUCAUCAUGUUAUUAGUGAUUGGAUUGAAUGAGAUUGUCCAAUUUUUAAACUCGUUAUUAUUUUUUAUAAUCAAAACAUGCCCUAACAUCUAGAUUGUACGAUUCACACGGGGUUGCAAUGGAUGGUUAUGCUUCAAUGAUAAUGUGAUUUUUGCUCUUAAUUCUAAAGGAGUCGUAGAUUAUUUUAAGUCAAAAAUAGUUGAUUAUAGUGAAUUUGGUUGAUUAUGUCUGCUUGUAGGCAGUUGUUUAUCGAUAGUUUUCAGAAUUCUCAUGUUCAAUUCAAUAUGAGGCAAGCUAAUGAAGUGGCUCAUGAAUUAGCACAUGUAGCCUCAUCUCAUGCUAGCUUCCAUGUCUAUGAUGAUGUACCGUCAUGUAUCCAAUGUUUGAUUACAAAUCCAAAUCUAAUAUUUAUAUGUAUUUUUUAACAAAUAAUAUUUUGUGACACUAUGAUAUGUUUAAAUCAUUUUGUAUGUUGUAUAUUUACUUAGUGUAUGUUUGGUUGUUCCCCUUUUAGAGGGAUCAAAAUUGAUUUUGAAGGUGUAAAAUUGAUUCUAACAUGUUUGAUUAGUGUCAUGCAGAGUUGAUUCACCUUUCAGAAAUGAUUUUAUUUGAAGCUGAAAUUUGCAGCUUUUGAUUUUAGAAUUGAUUUUCAUACAAAAAUUUACAGAUCAACUAACUUUUACAUAUUCAAAUACAAAUAACUUACAAUUAUAAUUACUUUUAACCAAAUCAAUUCCACAAAAUCAAUUCUAUCAAAACCUAUUAUCUCUGACGCACAACCAAACAAACCCUAAGGUGUUAAAAAGAAAGAGCAUAUUUUGAAAUAAAUGGUGAGAAAGGAGAUGGGGGGAAACAUUCCCAUUAUAUUAAUAUUAAAACUACUUUAUACAUUAAAAUUGAAAGCUUGAAUCCAACCCUACUACUCGGUCCACACAUAACAACAGAGAAUUGAUGAAUGAGGCGUGUACUGCAUGAGUGAGUGGAUAGACCAUAUAACGUAAGGUUUUCAUGACAUAAUUAAUAGUUGGGUAUAGUAGAUAGGGUCCCAUGAAAUUACAUAUCUAACAUUUUUAUUUUAUUGUAUUUUUGGUGAAAUCAUAUCUAACACUUUGAGACAUGUAAAUUUGGUCCCCACGUUGUGUAUGGACAUUGAGACAGAUAUGAUUGAUGCAUGAGAGGAUAGGUUAGAUUUUAUGUUGUAAAUGUAGGAAAAAUCUAUGUUCUAGUUUAUGGAAGAAUGGAAACAAAGUUGAACUCAAAGUUCAAACAUUGAAGUGGUAAGAACACGUGAAGUGUAACUAUCUAGAGUGUUAGUUUAUUAAGUACUUUGGCUUUUGUAAAAAAAAAAAAAGAAAAGAAACUUAGGUCUUUCUUUCUUCUAUGCAAUUUCUUUCAUUGCACCAUUAAUUCAAGAAUGAUUAAACCUCCAAAAUUCUUGAUCUUUGUAAGAUUACGAAUUUUUAAUUUAAUCCAUACAAAAAAAUUAAUUCAAUUUUAAUUCUUAGUUUUAUUAAUUUUUAUAAAAAUAUAAAAUAAAAUUUGUUUAGUCUUCUGCAUUUAUUCUCUAUAAAAGCUAAAUAACAACUAAAAUUGAAUAUAGUUUUUGUAGGAAUUAAAUUUAAAAAUUCAUAAAGACCAAAAACUACAUGUCUAGAACCACAGAAUGAAUAAGAGAGUUUCUAAUUUGUAGGGGUGGGUAUGGUUUGGUUCGGGAUGAAAACUUAACCGAACUAAACUGAACUGUUUGCGAAAUUCAAAAUAACUAAACCAAAUCAAAUUGUUUACAUUUUGAAUCGAACUGAACUGUUUUAAACUGAACCGAAUUGUAAUUAUUGGCACCAUUGAAAAAAUAUAUAUAAAAACAAACAAAAUUAAAUUUUAGAACUUUUAAAACAAAACCGAACUGUUUUGAACCGAACCAAACUGUUUCGAACAAAAUUGAACUGAACCGAACCGAAUUGUUUAGUUCAGUUUCAGAAUUGUUAGUAAUGGUUCGGUUUCUUUCUUAGUUCAGUUCAACUUUUUUGCCCACCCCUACUAAUUUCACCAUACUUGUUUCUAGCGCGUCCUAUGACAUUUUAGAUUAUAUAAUCUGAGUGGUACGUAAAAACAUUAAAAGAAAACUCUUUAUAAACCCUCCAUUGUUUAGAUUCUAGAAUCAGAAAUCGAACAAGCGAGAAGUUUGGGAAGGUGAGAAAACAAAUAUACAUUUGAAGAAAAGGCAGACCGUUUUGAAGGAAGUGUUUGUUUGAGUGUAUAGAUCAACAUUUUGAAGGAACAAAGGCACUAAGGCAGACCAUCGGAUUGUUAUGUUUUUUUUUUAGUCAGGUAGUCUAGUGGCUAGAAUUCACCUUAUAAGGUGAAUAAGUGGCGUGUCCGGGGUUCGAAUUCCGACCCCUGCAUAUAAUAAUGCAUUGUCCUACCAACUGAGCUAUGCUCACGAGACCAGAUUGUUAUGUUUCUAAUUAAUCUCAUUCUUGUAAAAACGAGCAUAUUAUAAUGACCAUACUAACAAUAUACAUUUGGACCGUCGUACACUCAAUGCCUCUAGUUUAGAGAUAUUAAUUAUUAAUGGUAAAAUAGUACGAGGACAUUUUGGCAUAUUAGGAACACACUCUGUAAAUCACACAAGGACUCAUGUGAAUCAUACAAUAAUUGGCAAAACCAUAUGCAUAUGCAUGCAAUGUACCAACAAUAGUCAUAUUUGUGCCCUAAAGGAAUAUUUCUCAAGACUAUGACUAGAAGACUUGCAUCACUAAAGAAAUGUUGCUCACUUCAAAAGUUCUUACAAGGCUUGCUAAAAUUCUCAAAUAACAAAAUGCAUUGUGCAACCUAUCAAGUUUUGAGAAUAUGUUCGAAGAGCCAAGGAACGUGUUUUAACUUCUAUGCUCUUUCUUUUGAAAGUUACUUACUUGAAUUUUGAACUUCAGUUUUAUAUUAUCUUAUAGAGAGAUAAACACUUGUAUUUCACAAACUUUUAUAAAUCUUAUCCCCUUUGUCGUCGGUCUUUGGUCGACGGUGUCCUUUAGGUCUGUAAAGGGCCGUGCAGUUGUGGUGGAUCCAGUCUCUGGAUGAUUUAAGAUUUUUCUCUUCCAUGUAGAAAGACGGUGGACCGUCAUAAUAUUCCUAAAAGCCUAAGAGACCCUCAGAAGCACUCUUAGGCCCUCUUUAAGGCCUCAACGCCCUUAUUAAAGCCUAAAACGCUCUUCAGAUGAGCUUUUAGGCCCAAAACGCGUUCCCUUCAGGACGGCGCCUUAGGCUGCUUCUAGAAGCCGCCUAAUUACCUAAAUAACCUCAUUACCUGCUGACCAAGUAACCAUAAAUCAGGCCCAUAUAUGGCUAUAAAUACAACCCUUGAGAGCCUUCUCAAGCAUGAGCAAUACAAUACAAACCCUAAUACGAUUAUUGUACUUUUAGCUAGUACAGUUGGUACAGUGGUCCUGAGGGUGGCGCUGGUAAGGUGUUCGGGGCAGUGCUUGUGGUGGUUGAGCUUGUGGCUUGUUUUGAUUUGUUUUUGUUCGAGCUGGUUUGAUUUGCGCCACUGUUCCACCUUUUCUCCGUCUUCGAAUUUGGCAUCGGGAUAAUGGUGGGCCGAGUUUGGACAAGUUUAGGUGUCUUCUCUGGUGGGUCGUGAGUUGAUGGGUGCCUUAUUAAUUUGUGUCAGAGUCUGAUGGUCCGAUCACUUUUGAUUCGAGAUCGGGGACUACUUUUUUUAUGCAAGUUCUUUUAGACUUUUUUGGUGACUCCUCUGACUUAUCGGAAGUUGAGUGGUGGGCGAUUCUGAUCGUUUGAUGCAACUUAUCAUCAUCGACUGCUUUUUUUAUCUCCGUUGGUGGUGUUGAAAAAUUGAUUGUUGUUAAUUUUUUGGUGUAUUUUUAUUUUCUUUUCGGUGUAAUACUUGGGAUCUAAUCCCCUAUUUAUAAUAUAUUUUGCAAUUAAAAAAAAAGAAAAAUAACUUCCCCUAAUAAUGACGUGAUUUUUAAAGGUUUGAGUGUACCUUGACAGUUGUUGGUCAUUGAGACCAUUUAGUAGAAAUUCUUCGGAUUAAAAGGAUUGAAUUAGUUAUCAGAUUAACUUUGAACUAGUAUAAAUUUUCUAUGCUUGUCUUUUUUUCCCUUAAUUAGUAGAAAAUCCAAAUCAAGUCCUCUUUUUUUUUUUUUUUUUUUGGUUACAGGUCCUCUUUCUUUUGUUUUUCACUACGUUAAUUUAUAUUUUCUCUCUUUUUAAUUUAAUAAUCCCCUCCCAAUUUUCUCUAAACCUCAUGGUGAUGUGACAUAAUUAUUGACAUUAGACUCAAAAUUAUCCAAUAAAUGAGAGAGAAAGAGAGAGUUGUAAUUCAAGUUUUCAACUUUUUGAUGUUUUUAAUUUUUAAUUUUAAAGAAAAGCCAUGUUGACCAUGAGAGUAGAGUUAGAUACCGCAUCAAUAAAUAAUGUCACCCUGCAUCAAUAAACAGUGUCAUCACAUAAAUUUAAUAUUGACACAAUACAAUAACCGUCUUUCUGCUAGUGCUUACAAUUUCAUGAAGUUAAUUUAAAAUGCAUUUUUGUAGAUAAAACUAGUGAAAGUUAAAUUAUAUUUUUAUUUUGGUUGAAUCAAGGGGGAUAUGCUUCUUAGAAUCUUUCAAACAUUCCAACUAGGUUGGCACCUCUGAAAAUCCAUGUUCUCUGUUGCCGACUUCAUAAAAUAUUAAAAAGAGGAAAAGUGUGUACACAGGAGAGGGACCUGACCCUCAAAGCAAAAAGAAAAAAAAAUCGGGGAAAUCGAUAGAUAGGCCAACCAAAAUGGUAUAUAGAGAAAGGCUCAAGAAACUGACCACCAACACAUUGAAUCGAGUGUCCAUGAUUCACAGGUUUAUCAGCACAAUCAUCACUGCCUUCACGAAAAAUAUAACUUAAAUAUUUUUCUUAAAUUAAGGCUGUGUUUGGUAACACAAAAAAGUUAGCUUAUAGCUUGUUGGAUUAGCUUAUAAAUUUGUUAGAUGAAAACGUGGCGUGUUUGGUAACAAACUUUUUUCAUGAGCUUAUAGCGUUUUUUGAAAAGCUAUUUCAAGUAGCUUUUUAGCUUAUAGCUGGUAGCUUUUUAUAUUUUCUUCCAACUUUAACCCUAUUAAUUUAAAUUAAUUAUUUUUUAAUUAAACAACUAUCCAUAUUCAUCUUUAUAACUGCCCCAUUUUGUCCCUUAAAAAAAAUGCCACGUUGUUUUUUUUUAAGGAGUACUAUAUAUAUAUAUAUAUAUAUUUUUUUUUUUUUUAAGGAAAUGCUUUAUAUUUUGCUAUAACUAACCUGCCGUACACCACAAAAAAAAUAACUAGCCUAUUUUUUUUUAAAGGAAAAAAUAACUAAUCUAUUGUACGUUGUAAAAUUUUAUAUAUUCUAGCUCACAUUUUGUUUCCACCUUUCUCUUAUUUUUAGGAUUCAUAAAGCAGAGAUUAAAAUGGUCGGUGAAUAUUUUUUUAGGGUUAAAGGUCGAAGAAUUUUUUUAUGGAGACUAAGACCAAAAGUUUGAAUAUUUAUAGGGACCAAAAACAUAUUUAACUAUAAUUAAAAAUAUUAAAAAAUAAAUACAUUACAAAAAAAAAUGUGUGUGUCUAUAUGUAUAUUAAAAAAAAAAAAACAUGUUCUUUUAUGUCAUUUUAUACUUAUCAGCCACUUCAACAACUAAUUUUACCAAACACAUUAUUUUUAAUAAACAAGUUUUUCAGCUAUAAACUAUCAGCUAUCAAUCAUCAGCUAUCAGCUUACUUAUCAGCUAUCAACUAGCUUAUAGCUUAUUUUUAUCAAACAGAGCCUUUUAGAUUUUUCUCUAAUUUCUUAAAUGUUUUUAUUUUAUUUGGACUCUUAAUUUUUUUCCCUUGCACUUUAGUCACUUAGCUUACAAACAUUAUUUAAGUUACCAACUUUAUACACUUUAGCCAUUCAUCAAAGACCAACAUAUCUUUUUUUUUUGAGGGAAGAUCAACAUAUCUUUCAAAUGGUUAAAAUGUUCAAAUAAUAUACGUAUAGCUUGAAGAAAUUAAAAACUUUUUUUGAAAUAUUCAUAACGUUAUCGAUCUAUUUAAAAUAUAAUUUGACGAAAUUAAUAACCUUUUUGAAGUAUUUAUAACAACAUCGACCUAUUUAAAGUAUAAUUUGACAAAAUUAAAAAUCUUUUUAAAAUAUUCAUAAAAUCAUCGACCUAUCUAAAACGCUCUAUAAAAGAAGGUUUACUCCAAACAAAAAAAAUUAAGUGACUAAAACUAAAGAUAACUUUUUUUAUCCCAUCAAUUGGCAAGUAACUAUAUUAAUCCGAAGUUUGAUUGUAAGAUAAAUAUACCGACGUAAAUCCUCUGAUCAAGAGAUCCAAUUGAGGUGGUGUUAGCAGCAAGUCCUCGAGUGAAGUAAGCAUCAGUGGCACAACAGCAAACCACCAUCAGUCGUCACCACCACCAACAUCAAAUUAGGGUUUCUCCGAUUUCCCAAAUUUUCAAAUUAGGGUUUCUACUCGCCAUGGCAGAUGGCUACUGGAACCGCCAGCAGUCUCUUCUCCCCCAUUCCGGCCUGCACAAACGUCCCCGCCCUGACUACGGUUCGUUUCCCCCUUUUCUUCCCAAUCAAUCAAUUUCAUGCUUAAUUGUUGUUUGUUUCGUGCAAUUUAUUAUCUUUCUCUUUCAUCAUGAUUAUUGUUGCUAUUUUUGAUGCAAAUUCAUGGAGGUGUGUGAAUAAUUCGAUGCUUCAAGAGUCUUGCUUUUUGUUUGUUUUUUUUUUACUGAAUUUUGGUUUAGGGUAUGUUUGGAUUAGUGGGUUUAAUGGAAGUGAAUUAUUAUGUUGUUGAUGAUGAUGCAAAUUAAUGUGCCGAAAUAAUUUGAUGCCUCAAUCUGCUGUUGUUGUUUUGAAUGAAGAUUUUUUGUUUGAAAUUUGGGUUUAAGGCAUGUUUGGAUUCAUUGGUUUAGUGGAGAUGAAGUAUUAUAAGGCUCUGGGGCACUCUUGAAGCAUUCUAUAUUAUGAAAAUAUUCUUUAAAAACGUCAAAUAAUUCAAUUUUCAAUGCAUUUAAUACACAAAUUUUCAUAGAAACUUACCUUUAAAGGUGUUUAAAGAGUGCCCCGGGGCACUCAUUAGCAUUUUCCAUAUUACCUUUAAAGGUGUUAAUAAUUUUAUUUUGGAUAUAUUUAGCUGUCACUAACGCCAAUUCCAUUUUUAAAAUUGAGGAAAUUGAUUACUUUACCGUUGAACACUAGGGUUUAAUGUUGUGGCGUUAGAUCUUAUUAUCCUAACUGUGGUACAUGAUUCUUCUUUUUGUUUGUUUUUUGAUUAAAUUUUGCUUUAGGGUCUGUAUGGAUUGAUGGGUUUAGAGGAAGUGGUAUGUUGAGUGGAAUGAAAUGUUACCCUAAGAUGUUCUUAGGAGAUUGGUGAUUCCCUUUUUUGGCUUGAUUUGGGAUAAUAAGAUCUAAGAUGCUUAAUUUUGCAUUAGGGAAUGUUUGGAUUGAAGGGUUUAGAGAAAAUGAAAUGCUGAGUGGAUAUGAAAUGUUAUACUAAGCUUUUUUACCCUAAAAUGUUCUUAGGAGAUUGCUAAUCCUCAUUUUGUGGAUAGAUUUAGCUGUCACUAACACCAUAGUUUUGAUUGUUUAUACAUAUGUUUGACAUUUGUGCUGCAAUGAUUUUGGAAUUAUCAUUUGGUGAUUUUGUUUGAGAGAAGCAAUGUUUCCAACUGUUUUAUAAGCCUAAAUUAAGGAAGCUGAUUACUUCAACUUUUAAUGCUAGGGUUUAGUGUUUUGGUGUUAGAUCUUAUUAUCCUAAUAAUCAUGGUAGCUAAAAUCGUGAUCGAUGUAUGAUCUUAAAUUCUUACAAUCUUUCACAUUGCAAAAGACCGUGAUCACAAGCAUGGUUGUUGGGAUUGCGUGACCAAUUUUAUCGAAUAUCGGCCAUGGCGGAAAUCCGUGCCGGUUUUUGGGCUCUCCACCAUGCCUAAUUUUUUCCUAUAUGACGGGAUCCACCAUAAUCCAAUAUGACAAUAAAACCUGUGAAAUUGUCAUGUGCGUGACAAGCAAAUUAUGGCUGAGAGCCAUACUGUGUGUGACAGAUUGUUGGUUGAGGUGGCGCGACAAGCAAACAUGUGAAAUUGUAGGCACGACACCCUUCUCUUGCGCCGUUCAUGAAGGUUUGAUACCCGCCAUGGCUCGAUUCUGUCCAUCACAAUAAUUGUUUCCGGGUCCAGCCUGUGACCUGCUUCCUUGAAAGCGGCAGCUUGGCAUUAAGAAACCCUAAAAAGGGACAUUAUGAUACGUUGCUGUUUCACUUUGUUUUUUUGGUUUUUCAUUUUCCACUUUGCUUUUUCCUCUAUUCGAGACAAUACAACAACAAACAACAACAACCAAGCCUUUUCUCACUAAGUGGGGUCGGCUACAUGGAUCAGAUUAUGCCAUAAUGUUCUAUUAUGAAUCACAUUUCGAUCCAACUCAUUAAUUUCUAAACUUUCCUAAUAUUUUAUAUUAUAGUUUUUGUAGGUCUUCCUAUGCCUCUAGUGAUCUGACUAUCCUAUACCUGAUUUGCUCUCCUUAUUACGGAAUUUAUAGUUCUUUUCUCUACGUGCCGAAACCCCGUAAGCCUAUUUUCCACCAUCUUUUCUACUAUAGGUCGUACCUCAAUUCUCUCUCUAAUAUUGUCAUUUCUAAUUCUAUAUCAUCUUGUCUUGCCACACAUCCAACACAACAUUCUCAUCUCUGCUAUGCUUAGUUUAUUCUCGUGUUAGUUCUUCGCUGCCCAACACUUCGUUCCAUACAUCAUCACUGGUCUUACCUCUGUUCGAUAAAAUUUCCCUUUCAACUUAGUGGUACUUUCGUAUCACUUAAAACACUCGAGGCUCCUCUCCAUUUCAACCACCUAGAAAUUACAUUUGAUAUAUAUGUUCUUUUUGGUUUUACAUACAAUAACUGUUGAAAUUUGGGGCCUAACUCAUCCUUACAAAACCGGUUUGUAAGGUUAGGAGUGUCUCCUCUUUAUAAACUCUUCUCAAGAGUGCUAUCUAUCCGAUGUGGGACUAAGUCCACCCCGUCAAAGCCAACACAAUGAAGGUAUUGGAGGCUGCAAUGAAGGCAAACCAAAGGCCGCAAUUUAGGUGACUAGGGGCGGACCAGAAUAAAGGCGGAAUUUCCAACAACUUUGCUUCCCCCUUUAUUUUUUAAUAAUAAUAAUAAUAAUAAUAAUAACAACCACAACAACAACAAUAACAACAACAACAACAUUAAAAGGAGAUAUAUUAUGCUAUAUUAUUUUUCAAUUAAUAGGUAUAAAAUUAUUUGUUUAUUUUUUUUAAAACAACCAACCAGCAAUCAGUCACCACCUCCCAGCUAGGGUUUCUUCUGUUUUUCGAUUCUAUCUCCUUUAAUUAGGGUUUCUCGUUCGCCUUUCACCUUACCAUGGCAGACAGAUCCUGGAAUCGGAAGCGAACACUUCGCCCUCUCUCCAGAGUUCCGAAACGACCGCUUUCCAGAACACUUCCCCCUCUCUCCUUCCUUCAGAAACGACCGCUUUCCGGAACACUUCCCCCUCUCUCCAGCCUUCCGAAACGACCGCUUUCUGCACACAGUUAGUUUCCCCUUUUCUUCUGGAUCAAUUUAUUUCAUGCUUAAAUAUUUAUUGAUUUGUUCAAUACGUCAUCUUGUUCUCUCAUUUUUUUUUUUUUUUUUUUGUUGUUGUUGUGGUUGUGUGUUUAAUGCAAAUAAAUGGAAAUGGCCAAAUAAGUCUAUGCGUCACUUUCUUCUUGUUUUGAUUUAAGAUUUUUGCUUUAUGUUUGCUUUUUGAUGAAGUCUUGCUUUAUCUCGAUCACGUUGAUUUAUGAUUCUUGCUUUAUGUUUGUCUUUUUGGUUAAAUCUUUCUUUAUCUCGAUCACAAGAAAAGAUAUCAAUCUCACGUGUUAUUCACCCUCAACUCUGGAGAAGCGGUGAAAAGAUCUCUAGAUGGGUCGGCGGGGUUGUGCGACGUUCAAGAUCACAAGAUUGUAGAAACGACGCUCUUCUCCGCACAAGUCGUGAAGGUUUUUUUACUCAUGGUGCUGGCAGCCAUGGUUGAAAAUCUUUGAAAACCCUAUAGAACGAGGGUUUUACCACUUGACCCGACCCGGAAAACUAAGGCUCAUUAGCCAAAACCCUUAAAAUGAGUGGUAGGCACAGUAACCUGGUUCACUAAAAGGGUUAUAUGUCAUGUGACCCGAUCCGGAGACUAAGUCCCAAAUGGUAAAAACCCUAAAAUAAGUUGCAUCGCAGCCUUCACGUCGCUUUCUUUUUCAUUUUUUUAAAUACUCUUGUUCUUUUUCAUACUUUUAUUCUUUUUUAUAGUAAGAAUUAUAUUUUAAUUCUUUCUUAAAAAUUCCCAAUCGCCUUAAUUAUGACAUGUAAUUAUGAUAUAUAAAUAAUCAAAUAUAAUUGUCUGGUGUGAUCUUCCAAUCCAUGCUACAAUCACAAUUUACUAUUUGCCUAUGCCCAAAUGAUCUUAAGUGGGAUCUCGAGUUUGACAACCAUGGUCAGGGUUACGUGUACCUGAGUUCGACUUUAAUCGGUUAUCCGAGUUCAAUUUCGACUGCUGCACCCGUCUUAUGAUCCGACUGCUGCAACUAUUUGAGUUCGAAUGUAUGAUUUAGACCUAUUCUUUCUGUCGCUCGGCCAGGUGCCACUGUUCUGUGAUCUACUGAUUUCUCUGCUGCAACAACCCUAUGAGCAUAUAUAACAAUAGCAUGGGUUCUCUCUGCCUCCUAUGCUGAGAGUAUUUUGAUUCUCUCUAUCCUUGUUCUUUGCUGGUCACUGCUUCACCUCUUCAGGAGGCUUUUUUAUGUGUCUGGCAUGAUACUCUCCGGAUGCUGCUUCAUCUUUUUGAAUGUAUUUUUUUCCCCCAAAACAUGUCAACCAAAUUGGGUUGGGUGCUUUUGAAACUUACUUGAUGGGCUUUGUUGAAAUACACCAACCCUUUGAUCCUAUGCUUCUCUGUUAAUUAACUGAUCUAUUGGUUAAUUGUCACAAUAAUCACUAUUAAUAUAAAAUAACUAAAUUGUGUAUCAUAAAAUAACCACAGUUACAUACCUACAUUCUCACUUGAACUUUAUAUUUGAUGUUUAUCAGUCUAUGGAUAUGAAUGAUAUACACUGUAUAAGAUAUGGCACGAAUGUGAGUUCUAGUUCUGUGUUCUGCACUUUUGAUAAAAAAAAGAUAUGCAUAUAUUUUUUUUGUCUAUUGUUAUCCAGCUUCAGUGCUCUUUGCCAGAGAUGCUAAUGGUCAUUAUUUACAAUUUUAUUACAGAAAUGCCAGCUUCUGGUCUUCCUUCAGGCAAUGAGAUGCAUUAUCUUUCUCGUGAAGAGGACCGUUCUGGUCACCCAAUGGUCAAGGACUCAAAAACAAUUGGAUCUGCGUAUGAUCGCUACCUUCAGGGGGUAACACUUCAUCCUUUUAUGCUUGCGUAAUUAUAUUACUAUUAUUUUUUUGGGUAUUUUCACUGCUUGUUAGCUGAAAGCAUCCAUCUUGUUUGGUUUUAUAGCAAGUUCCUUCAUUUACUUCUGGGGAAGCCAGUACAGUUGGUGCUCUUGGAUUGCAAAGAGGUAUUGGUGGAUUACCGAACCAUUCACUAAGCGAUCCUUCUGCCAUGAUAGGGCGUCAUGGGGGUGGUGGUCCUGAUCUUGCACCAAAUGGACGGGGUAUGAAUUAUGGUUUUCAACCACCGAUGGAUCCAGUUUCCAGGCAUGGACCUGAGCCAGCACUUCUACCCCCAGAUGCUUCACCAACUCUAUAUAUUGAAGGUCUGCCUUCUGAUUGUACAAGAAGAGAAGUGGCUCGUAUCCUUUUUGUUAUGAUGCAAUGCUUUGGAAUUUUUUCAUUUUCUCUUUCAUCCAUGUGUCUUGAGCUUUGUUUAUUUUAAUUCUGUUAUACAUAUUCCUUAACGUCGUCUUUAGACAUUUUCCGUCCGUUUGUUGGAUAUAGAGAAGUGAGACUUGUUAGCAAAGAAGCUAAACAUGUAAGUCUAUCGUUUGUUAAAGUUGUCUUCUUAUGUUGAAAGCUAAAAUGUCCCCUUUAUGCUAAAAAGCCUUUUUAUUGCAGCGUGGAGAUCCUCUGAUCCUUUGUUUUGUGGACUUUGCAAAUCCAGCUUGUGCAGCCACUGCUUUGAGUGCCUUGCAAGGUAUUAUUUCUAUAACUACCUGCUUAUAGAUAGCAAGUCAGUUUAUGAUUCAAAUAGCAUGAAAAUGACAGUAAUCUGCGUCUAAAGGUAAUUAGUUGUUGUUCAAUAGAAAUCUGUUACGAUUCAAAGGAAAUACAUGUCAUAUAUGUAUUAUUCUAUUAUUAUUAUGCAGAUUUUGAGUAUGGGUCAGAAGCGAUAUUUUGAGUCGCAUCACAUCGUUACAUGUCAUAUAUGUAUUAUUCUAUUAUUAUUAUUAUGCAGAUUUUCUUUCCAUUUUCUCUUUCCGUACCAAUAAUUUCAACAAAAUAUUUUUGUCAUUACUAUCAUUGAUAUCUUGAAAUAUCGAUUUUCCAUUUUACAACCAUAUAGUUACAUCCUUGUUUUUACCCCCUUAUAUUCUGUGAAUUUAAGUUCCCAUUUUAUAACAAAACAGAUCGUCCAUAUUGGUGCAAACAAAUUUGUUAUUUAGUGAUUAAUGGAAAUUCAGGUUCAGAAAACGAAAGAUGAUUCACUUUUACUGUUUAAUCUACAAUGGGAACCUCAUCGUUCCAGACAUGAUAUGCUUAUUGCCCUGUACUGUGCUCCCAUGGUUGGCAAAGCUAACAACCAUAUCCAUUAUUUUCAUAUUCAUUCAUAAAACUUAUUUAUGAGCUCGAUGCUUAGUGACAUUUUGAGAUACUUACUCGUCUUAUGCUAACUUUGUGGUUUGUACACAGGCUAUAAAGUCGAUGAAAUCAAUCCCGAGUCUAGUCAUUUGCGGCUUCAGUUUUCUCGAUAUCCAGGUCCAAGAAGUGGAGGUGGUCCAAGAAGUAGUGGACCUCCCAGAGGUGGACAUGGAUCUCGUGGUAGGAGGUGACUCACAUAGCCCAGUUAGGAUUUACGCUCAUAGGAAACGUGGAUGGUCCGUUUUAUGGGCUUGAAUGUUCGCUGGUCAUUUUACUACACAAACGCUUAAUUUUAUUUUACUUAUGGCUACAUUCCUUGUUUAGAGCCCUUGAGAUGCACAAAUUAUUACCAGGCAGAGAUCAAAUAGCAAUUUCGUUUUAGCAAAACUAGCAAAAUGGAGAUUUUUGGUUGUGUAUUAUUAUUAUUUGCUAAAUUGAGUAUGAUCCUGAAGUUUAAUUUAUGUUAGAGUUUACUUUGUGCUGACCAAUUGUAUUGUUCAGUUAUGAUAUUUUUUUGGUUUUUUUUUUCUUCCAAUAUUAUCUAUUUACUUGGUAUGUGCUACAGAGAUAAUGUUGUAGGUUGAAGGACCUAGUUUAUAGGGAACCAUUGUCCCCUGAGAAUCAGGAUAGGGAUUGCUUCGGGGUGCCAACCUAGUUGUGAUGUCGACGUUUCUCCUCGAUGCCUGUCCUUUCUCUUGGCUUAUAAAAAAAAAAAUUUCCACCGAGAAUCUGAGAUGUUGUUGAUAAAGGAUGAUUGUGCAAGAUGUUCUCGAUUCAUGUUGAGUUUAGUGGUUAAUUGCAUAGAAGAAAUAUGAAUUUGUUCUUGAUCCAUACUCUGAUUACAAGAAGAAACUCAUUUUGUUACACUGAAAGCUAAGGACAUGCUUGCUUGUUAUUUUUCAUAAAAUCAUAUUUUUAGUAAAAAAAUGAAAGGAAAAAAAAGAUUCAUCAAGCUUUUUGAAAAUUUUCCAACUUUCACUUAGUGUUUUCAUUUUUCCAACAAGUCAAUAAAUAAUAUUUCUUGUCGAUUUCUUAAACUCUUUGUUGUCAAUAUGUGUGUGUGGAACUCUAAGUUUAUGUUUUGCUAGUUUUUUUAUAUUUUUCUUGCAGCCCUUUCUGAAACUUCAUUGCACAAAAAUGAAGGAUUACAUGAUUUUUUUUUACAAUACACCCCAAAAAUAUCUGUAAUCUAAGUUUAUGUAUGUCUCAAAAUUCAAAUUUUAAAGAUAUAUGUUAAUUGAUUUUGCAUAGAGUAUGUAAACUGAGUUUAUGCUACAUUCCUUAGAUUACGCAUGCUACGUAAACUUAGUUUAAGUAAACUAUACAGAUUCAGUUUACGUACAAAGAAUAUAUAAACUCAGUUUACAAACAUAAAUUUAAUUUGUAAAUUUUGUUACAAGAGUAUUUUGAUUAUUUUGAGGUGUAAUCAGGAUUUUUGUGUCACUAGAAAUUAUCAUAAAACUUCUUCAAGCCGAAGGCAGCACCCUGCUGUCAAGCUCCAAAAAAACCCCACUGCUACUUCCAGAAGCGCAAAAACCACGAAAACAAUUGCAGGAACAACCUGCAAUCCCACUGCCGAACAGAAAUAGGAGAAUGACAGCACCCUAAAACCUGCGCAGCAGGAGGAAUAGCAGCAGAACAUCAUGGUAAAACCAUCAGUCAUCUCAACAAACAAUCCUGUGGACUCCAUUCCCACUCGUAGAACAUAUAAGUCGUAACAUUUAGCCUUCCCAACAACCACCUCCAAGACAACACCUUUAUAACCUCAAUAAAAUUCAAUUUUCAUAAGGGCUCUGUUUGGUAAAAAUAGCGGAUAACUGAUAAACUAGCUGAUAGCUGAUAGCUUAUAACUGAUAGCUGAUGACUGAUGGCUGAUAGCUUAUAGCUGAUGAUCGUUAGCUGAUAAGCUAACUAAAGUGUUUGGUAAAAUUAACGGUUCAACUAGCUGAUAAUGGUAAAUUUACAUAAAAGGACAUUUUUUAUUCAUAAUAAUUUUUUUAAGAGUUUAUAAUACAAUCUAUACCAAUUAAUAUUUAAGAUGUUUAGUCAUUUAAAUUUUUUAUUAUAACCAAUACAUAUUUUCUCUAAAAAAUUGUUUUAAGUUUAUUUCAUUCAAUUUUUAUAAUUUAUGAAUGAUUAAAGUAUAAUUUUUUUUUCUAUAAACAAAGUAAAAAAUAAUCAUCGACAAGAUUAAAAAAAAGUGUUAGAAGAAUAAAAAAAAAAAAACAAAAUAAGUAGUUAGUAUAUACUAAUAUACCCAUAAACAUGGAACUUUUUUAAUAAGUUAGGAAAUAGGAGUAUAAAAAAUUGUAUGUGUCAUUACAUGAAAUGAAAUGGCGUUGUUGCACUGCAAUAUAUUGAACGAGUGCUAAAGAGAAGCAUGCAUACUUGAGAUAUAAAAAAUACGUCGUACAGUAGUGUUCUUUUAGUUUUAAAGUAUAAUAAAUUAUAAAGGGUAAAUAUGAAUUUUAGUUAAAAUAAUAAGGGUAAAAAAGGAACAAAAGAUAAUAAGCUAUAAGCUAUAAGUUCAAACGCUACUUGAAAUAGCUUCUGAAAAAUAGCUUAUAAGCUCGUGAAAUAAACUAUAAGCUCAUGGUGAAAAAGCAUUACUAAACAAAGUUUUUUUGUCAUACGAGCUUAUAAGCUAUGCGUAGGCAUGGCAAUGGGGCGGGGUGGGGACGAGUUUUACCUUCCCCGUCCCCAUACCCGAUUCUCAUAUACUUACCCGUUACUCUACCCAUACCCAACGGGGAUGAGAAAUUGAAUCUCAUCGCCGUCCCCGACGGGUUUGGGUAUCCCCGUCCCCGCAUUGAAUAUUUUUUUAAUAAAAAAUAGAAGUUUUUUUGCAUCCCCAAGAGCAACGUAGUAAUACAUUAUUCAACAAUAAACUCACUUUCACAUUUGUUAGACAAAAUGAUUUAGUUGAUCCUUUAAAUAUCAAUGUUAGUUUUUAUUAAGAUGACAAUUAUCAAACAAAAUAACAUAACGUAUCAACAUAAAAUAAUUUUUUACAUUUGGGACGGGUUUGGGUAUGGGUUCGGGGUGGGUACCUAUAUACCCGUCACCCGUCCCAUAUCCGUGUUUUGAGAUUGGGGAAAACCCAUACCCGUACCCAAACCCAGUCAAAACGGGGAAAACCCGUCAAAUUGAAUUUGGUUCGGGCGGGUAACCAUAGGUAUGGGUUUUGUUGCCAUGCCUAGCUAUGAGCUCAUUGAUGUGUCUUACCAAACAGACCCAAGAUACUUGCAAAUUUUUUUUUCACUGUUAUGAAUAUUAUUAAUUUUCUCAUUCCCAGAUUUUUAAAUGCUAUAAUAAUAAAAGGGUCAUGUUAACUUGUGCAUUUAAGACACAUGUUAAACAUUAAUUUCAUUCCAUUAAUGAUAAAAAUUUAAUAAAAGAGAAUUAAUAUAUUAAUUCUAUCGGUGAAAAUCUUAAUAUGUGCCAUGAGGACACAAGUUAACAUCAAAUUAAUACAUUUAAUUGAAAAUCUUACACAACAUGAAUACAAAAGAUGUGGAUUAGUGUCUUUGUAUCCAAGAAUGUCUCUCUUGACAAAACAUGUAAAAAGUAGUUAUUCAUCAAUGCAGAACCAAUCCACUUAAUUGAAAACGCAACAAUCCAGUCAUUAAGUUGAUCAUAAUUUUUUCCUUAAAAAAAAAAAAAAAAAAUUGAUCAUAAUUUUAACAUAGAUCGUGAGACACUUAAAUCAUAAAUCAUUGGACAACACUGUGGAUUCGACUUCUGUAACAUAGUGGCGGGCUAUGUUACAUGACAUAGCCAGUAAUAUUGUGCCACAUGUCACUUCUUUUUUAAAUAAAAAAAUCAAAUAAAAUAAAAGAAAAGGAACAAUAACAUUACAUUCGCUCAUACUUCUUCUUCAAAAGCGUUUCCUCACUUCUCCUUGUGCUACCCAUCCACAAUCAUCAUAUGUGCACAGACCGCCUUCACUUCUACACCAUUUGCCGCCUUCUCCCUCCGUCGCCGGAAUCAUCUAUGCACAGGUCACUGUCAUGGACUGAUGGAUUGACCAAUGUUCUGUCAAAGGAUUCAGUAUUGUAUUGUGUAGCUGUGUUUUCAUUUUCAAAUUUGUUGAAUUUAUUUGAAAUUGACUAGAGAUUGAGAGUUAUUAUCUCAGAAAAUUGAUUUUGAAUUUGAAAUUGCUUAAUAAAAAAAAAAAACAAUGUUUCUACUUGUUAUGUGAAUCCAAGACUGUGUUGGCACGAUGGAGGAGUGAUUGUGACCUCUGAGAUGUGUUAGCAUUCUGUUAAAAUUGCGGCAUCGGAUUCUGGUUUGAACUGUUUAAAUUGCGGCAUCAGAUAUUGGUUUGAAGCUGUGGUUUUUGGUGUUAAUGGAGUAUAUGGUUGCAGUGUGUGCUACUAGUGUUAAAGGAGGCAGUGGCGACUGACGGUGGCGACCGAUGGUGGAGGAUAAACAAAUGAUGAUGGUGGCGACCGGUAUUGUUUUAAUGUUGCCUAUGGAUAUUACAUUUUGAUUGGUUGAAAUCAUGAGAGAGUAAUUAUCCCCUAAACAAGAGAGGGUAACGUAGGCCUCACCCAAAUCAUUGGACAACACUGUGGAUUCGACUUCUGUAACAUAGUGGCGGGCUAUGUUACAUGACAUAGCCAGUAAUAUUGUGCCACGUGUCACUUCUUUUUUAAAUAAAAAAAAUAAAAUAAAGAAAAGAAAAGGAACAACAACAGUACAUACGCACAUACUUCUUCUUCAAAAGCGUCUCCUCACUUCUUCUUGUGCUACCCACCCACAAUCAUCAUCUGUGCACAGACCGCCUUCACUUCUCCACCAUUCGCCGCCUUAUUCCUCCGCUGCCGGAAUCAUCUAUGCACAGAUCUCUGUCAUGGACUGAUGAAUUGACCAAUGUUCUGUCAAAGGGAUUCAAUAUUGUAUUGUGUAGUUGUGUUUUCAUUUUCAAAUUUGUUGAAUUUAUUUGAAAUUGACUAGAGAUUGAGAGUUAUUAUCUCAGAAAAUUGAUUUGGAAUUUGAAAAUGCUCAAUAAAAAAAAUGUUUCUACUUGUUAUGUGAAUCCAAGACUGUGUUGGCACGAUGGAGGAGUGAUUGUGACCUCUGAGAUGUGUUAGCAUUCUGUUAAAAUUGCGGCAUCAGAUUCUAGUUUGAACUGUUUAAAUUGCGGCAUCGGAUUCUGGUUUGACACGUGGCACAAUAUUAUUGGCUAUGUCAUGUGACAUAGCCCGUCACUCUGUUACAGAAGUCGAAUCCUAACAGUGUCAUGUAACAUUGACCAACUACAGUGUACCAUGUGUCACCCUUUACUUAAAAAAUACUCGAAAAACCAAAAAAUAUCAAAACCAAUGCAAUCAUUAAUUAAUGUAACUUUUUGAAUAUUUUUACAAAUACACCCUCAUAAAAAAUUGUGAAGCAUUAAAUAUACUAACUAAUACUCCCUCCGUCCCUAAUUAUAAGACACUUUUAAGAGUUUUUUUUGUCCCUUUUUAUAAAACCCCUUUGCUAUUUUCAACUAUAUUAAUUAUUUCUUUACAUGCAUGCCCCUAUUUAUUAUACAUAAUUUUCUUUAAUCAGCAAUAAAUAUCAUGUUGAAAACAUAAACCAAUUCUCUCUUAAAGGAUAAAAUUGUAAAAACAAUAGCAAUUACAAACAUAUUUAAUACAAAUAUCCACUAUCUUAAUUCCCGUUAUUUUUUUAAAAGGGUCUUAUAAUUAGGGACGGAGGGAGUAUUAAAUAAAGGGUAUAAAAGUCUUUUAAAUAAUAAUUACACCUUAAAAAUUGUGACAUUUUUUUUAUAAAUAGGACGAUUUUUUUUUUUUUUUGAAUAUUUUCUUAUAUAUAAGACCGGAAGGAGUAUAAGAAAAACUAAAAAAUUCUUAUGAAAGCAAGAGAAGAAAACCACUUAUUACAUUGUAGUUGAUCAAUAUCACAUGAAAUUGACACCACAAUGUCACAUAAGUGUUGUCCCAAAUCAUCAAACUAUGAAGUAUGUAUGGAUUAAAACAUCAUAUGCAAAUAUUUAGAUCAUGAUUCACCAUUUCUAAUAGAUUGUAUGCUAUGUCAAAUCCUUAACUAUACCACUAGAUAAAAUGGAUGUAAGAGCGAGUUUAAAAGGCCAAUCGUGUAUAAUAUUAACUAGGAUACGAAGAAUGUAUAUUAAACAAUUUAUUCCUAUCCUAACUAAUAUACAUGAAUCACUAUCACAUUAAUAUCUAUAUGAAACUUUCAACAAUGCAGUCCCAAGGAUCUGCCAAUCAACCAAACUAUUCAUAGAACAAUGGCCUGCUCUCUUUGACUAGGUCAUGGUAUAAAGACCAAGAGUCCUUGUUCCCCAAUCAUCAACAACAUCAUGAUAUAGUCGCAGCAUUAUCCGAUUUUCAAUAUAAGCAAAUGUCAAAACAUAUUUAGUUCAAGUUAAGACCAAAUACAUUUUAAUUUUUGUUUUUGUUUUUUGUUUUGAGGAAAUACUUAAAUUUUAAACUGGAUUAGUACAUUGUAAGAAAGUAUAUACACUAUUAGUUUGCUUCUUAUAUUAUAUUUUAAAUGAAAUUGAACUUCAUACCGGUUCAACUUAGCUUGAUUUGUUGUCAAUUUAUGAGAGAGAUAAACAUAAAUGAUAAUUUUGUGAGAUCUAUCGAUGGGAUCCGCUAAAUCAUGAUUCUAUCAUUAGUAGUUACACAAUCCUUGUUACUAAUCUAAUCAAUUGAAUUUAUAAUAAAAUGUAUAACUACUCAAAUCACCAAGACAUUACUUUUUAAUUAAUAUAUUAUGGGUCCUGCUAACCGGUGCCUCCGGAGCACUGGUUAAGCAUACUAUAAAAGGAAAUUAUUAUCAUAAAAGGAAACUGUUUUUGACUUUAUUAUAAAUUAAUUACACAAUUUCAAUGCAUUAACUACUAUAUAAUUUCCUUUUUCAUAUCCUUAACAAGUGCACUGGGGGCACCGGUUAGCAUUUCCCAUAUAUUAUCUAGGGUUAAUUAAGUUUUUAGUCCCUAUAAAUAUUCACAGUUUUGUUUUUAGUCCCUACAAAAUAAAAUCACACUUUUUAGUCUCUGUGACAUUUUCCUUAAGCAUUUUAGGGACUAAAAAUGUUGAUGGAAAAAUUUUAUAGGGACUAAAAAUGUUGAUGGAAAAUUUUAUGGGGACUAAAAAUGUUGAUGGAAAAUUUUAUAGGGACUAAAAAAUAUGAUUUUAUUUUGUAGGGACUAAAAACUUAAUUAACCCUAUUAUCUAACUUAACUAAUUAGACCAAUCACCUAAUCAAUUUAGUUGUACCUAAUCGAUCAUCCUAAUUCCUAACGGCCUUAUAUUCAAUUAAAUUAAGCGUAGUAAAAACAUAUUUAUUAAUUCAGUUAAUCAUCAAACAUGAAAUCUAUUUACUAUAGCAACUUAUCACACAGUACGUACAAUAUAUCAAAGUUUGUUCUUAAAAAAAAAAAUCAGAGUUUGAAUUUUAUAUUGAGUUAAAUUCUUCCUCACAAUAUCAAUUUGUAUAAUGAUAAUUAUUGCUCUUUAUAAACUCAUUUCAAACCUUUAUUUUAUGCCAGAUAUAGGUUUUUUUCAAUAGUCACAUCACCCAUUAUUUAUUUAUUUAUUUAUGGCAUAGACAUCACCUAUUGUUUUAAAAUUAGGAUUCUAAGUAAACAAAUAAUAUAGAAGAUUAUCCAUUGUCUAUUUCAGACUACAUGUUAGUACUUCAUUGUUGAUUGUACUAUAAUAUUUUUUUGUAUAUUAUUGUAAUAUUAUUUUUGUCAAUUUGGAUAGGAGCCCCGUACACACUCGUAUUAAGUUCACACUGAUUUUGUACUACUUUUUUUUUUUUGGUAUGGAAGAAAUUAAAGACAUAAGACAUGCUUAAAUUCUGAAAAGCUUGAAUCCGUUUCGAGUUUAAGAGUAGGUUUUAGAAAUUAAGUAUCCAACGCUUCAGCAAGUUACGUGUCAUUCUCAUUUCAAUUCAAGUUUUUCUCUCUCAAUAUCAGAAUAAUUCCUUCGCUUAAAACUCUUAUGUGUUGCAACCGUCUCUCUCUCCCCAACACUUAAGAGUUUUAAGCGGACAAAUUAUUCUGAUGAUGAGAUAGAGAAGCUUAAAUUGGAAUGACAAGGAUAUAUAACUCAAUUAAUUGUCGAAUAUUUUCUUUAAACUUUUUUAUUUAUAGAUAUCUUAUGACCAUACAAGAAUAAUCGAGGUUUGGGUCUCAUUGCCAUACUAGAGGAAUCCCCUUGCAUCCAUGGGUAAAAAGAUUAUUUCACCAUCCUAUCUGUUUUUACACCAUGCAUCUUCAAAAGCAUAUGCCUAAUUCAUAUGACUCAUUAUAUUGCUAUAAUUAACUAUCUUAAUUAUCUCUCAAAAAAAAAAAAAAACUAUCUUAAUUAAUCAAGAAGGUAGCGUGCAAGCAUAAAAUUUGGUUGAAACUAACCAACUUUUUUUAGUAAUAUUCAUUUCAAUGAUAGUAAACUGUUGGUGAUAUUAUUAAAAUAAUAGUAGAAUAAAAUAUAUUAGUAUUUUAUUAGUCAUAAUAUAUAUUAUCUAUCAAUUUGACUUUGAAAGAGUUCAUUCAUUUCUUUUUUAUUUUAUUGGUACAAUUUUAGGGUUGUUUUAAGACAAAUAUUUUGACGGUUGUGACGAUCCCCCUAGGCAGAAGAGAAAACAUUUUGCUAAAAAGUGUGAUUUCUAAAAUUUUCAUAUCUUUCUUCUUCCAAAGUUUUAAGUUAUUUGAGCAGUAUAAGAAUUAUCGUGGAGUGUAGAAUUUCUUCCAAAGUUUUAAGUUAUUUGACUCAGUAUAUAUAUCUAUCAAGUGUUUGAGAAUUAUACCGACAUCUUUUUUUUUUCAUAAUAUAAUAUAUAUCAUAAUUUUAACUAAAAAAAUAUAUGUUCUUUCAAUAUAUAUAUAUAUAUAUAUAUAUAUAUAUAUAUAUAUAUAUAUAUAUAUAUUAAUCAUGUGCGGGAUAUUUUUUUCUCAAUGAUAGAACUUGCUUGCAUGUUAGGAGUACGUGUGUUUACUUAUAUGUAAUUGUCGCAAAUAUUAUAUAGUGAUUUGGGAAAGCAACUUUUAAGUAUGUGUAUGUUUUCUUAAAAAAAAAAAAAAAAUGUGUAUAUUUGUUUCAUUGAACAAAGAAAAAGUAUGUGUUUGGUUUGACGGUGGGGAAUGUUAUCGUACGCUUCAAUAAAUAGUCUUUUGUCAUUUUUAAAUGUUUGGUUAGGAAUUUUAGAAAAAUCUAUUAUGUCAUCUAAAUUAAUACUCAUUAAAAUUCAAGAGGUAACUUUGUAGAAUGACAUGUCUUUUUUCUCAUUGUUAACUUUCUUCUAUGCUUUUGAUUUCUAAAAUUUAUUCAUGUGCUUUAAUUUAAUUCUACUUGCACUUUUAAUUUGCAUAUAUGUUUAUGUUAGAUAUUAUUUUGAAUCACAGAAACUCAAUGAGAAUUAUUUAAGAAUGAUAAAAUCUUAUUCUUUUACAUUUUUUACCAAAGUGAGUUGUUUAUUGGACCAUAUUUUUAGUUUGGUCUUUGUUUAUGAGAACAUUGUUAGAUGAAAAUAAAAUAGUAAUUUUGGAUCAAAUUUGAAACAUUGUUGAAAUUAAGUUAUUUUUAACUUGAUUUUAAUGUUGGAAAUAAAAUUUUGUAUUGUUUCUUAAAAAUCGCAACAACCGAAUCAACCCAGACCACAUAGGUUUGAUUUUUAUUUUAAAAACCAACAAAUCAAACCAAACUAUAUGUUUUUUAUUUUAUUUUACGGUUCGGAUGACUUUUAACUUUUUAUUGAACAAGUUAAAAUGAUAUAUAAACAACUGUGAUUUACCCCGCACAAGGCGUGCAAAAGGCAAACCACACAAGAGUAUUUACAACCUCAAGGUGCAAUCACAAAGGGCGCACCACCAAUGCAAAAAAAUAGAGUUUUCCAAUACAAAGAAGCGAGUUUUCCCACCAAUCAUGAUAACUAUAACUAAAAGUCGCUUGUUUUGAUUUCAGCCAUAAAAAAGAGUUUAGUUUAACCUUUUUGAUGAAAAUAGAAGGAUCAGAAGCUGUGUUUUGGAAUACACGGUGAUUCAUCUCCUUCCAAAUAACCCAAAUAGAGGCAAACCAAAUAGUUGUGAAGAACGAAUGGGUGAAUCUAGACAUACCUGCCGUAUUAUUAAAUUGACCAAAAUGUUGUCGAAGGUCACCAGAAGAAACCGAAGAGAUACCUAACCAAUGCCACACAUGAGACCAAAGAGAACUGAAUAUAUCACAUCCUAAAAAAAGAUGUUGUGUUGUUUUCGCACCAAACUGCAUUGUGAACACCCCUAGUCGAGCCAAUUGGUUGAGCUUAUGUAGUUAACAAAAUUUAGUUAAAAAUAAAUAGAUCGAGAGAAUCCAAAUUUAAUUUUUGUCUGAACUAUCGUUGACGAGACUUUACUUAUCUUCUUUUCGAACUCAUGAUCAACAAUAUAUAUCAUUCUUAUUAGGGGUUAAAUAUGUUUUUGGUCACUAUAAAUAUGUCAACUUUCAUUUUAGUUCCUCUAAAAAAUUUCUUCAAACUUUAGUCGACAAAAAGUUUUUUAUCUUCACUUUUGGUCCCUCAUUUAGAGUAAACUCAUAUGUAGAAUUCAUAUUUUCGAAUAAAAUUUUGCAGAAAAAUUGAUAAUAUUAUAAGAAUCUCUCCAAACAAAAAUUAGAAUUUUUUUAACAAAAUAUGAAUUAAAUAUGUAUUUUUAUAUUUCGGCAGUUAAAAAUUCAUAUUUAAUUUAUGUUUUGUUAAAAAAUUCUAAUUUUUUUAGGGAGAUAAUUUUACAAUAUUCUACAUAAUUUCAUUAAAAAAAAAUACAAAAAUUAAAUUACAAGUAAGGACUAAAAGUAGUGAUUGAAAAUUUUAUAGCGACUAAAAGUUAAAGGAAAACUUUUGAGGGACUAAAACGAAAAGUUUGUAUAUUUGUAAGGAGCAAAAAUAUGUUUAACACUUUUUUUUACAACCGAAGAUUCAAAACAUAAAAAAAAAAAAAAAAAAAAAAAAAAAAAAUUUUUAAACCUUUUUUUUAAAACCAAAAAAAAAAAAAAAAAAAAAAAAAAAAAAAAAAAAAAAAAACAAUGUUUUCAAGUAGUUGGCAACAUAACACGACUCUCCUAGCAAACAUUGGCAAAAAUCUAGAAUUACUUGGCUGGAGGAGGGGGAUGCAAACUCCAGAUUUUUCCAUGGGGUUAUAUCCUCUACGAGACGUUCAAAUGCUAUUGUUUCUAAUUGAGUGAAUGGGGUGCAGAUUGAAAGGGUUAAAGGGGUGAGAAGUUCGGUUUUUGUUCAUUUCAGUCGGUAUUUUAAAAGGGUGGAUGUCGAGAGACCAAGCCUACGGAAGAUGGUGUUUAAAUAUUUUUCUAAUGAGGAGGGGGCUGAUCUUAUAAAACCCUUCUUGUUAAAGGAGAUUAAGGAGGCAAUGUGGGACUGUGAUAACUUUAAGAGUCCUGGGCCGGAUAGCAUUAACCUAAGAUUUUUUGAAUGAUUUUUGGAAUAUGUUGAAGGUGGAGUUACUGAUAUUUUUGCUGAAUUUCAUUGGAAUGACAGGUUGACUAAAGGUUUGAAUAGCACUUUUAUCGCCUUGAUUCCUAAAAUUGAGAACUCGCAGAGAUUGUCAGAUAUUCGACCUAUUUCAUUUGUUAAUAGUUUGUAUAAAAUUCUGUCCAAGAUGCUUGCUAACAAAUCUAUGAUGUCAUUGUUAUUGCUAAUGAGUUGGUGGAUGAUGCCUUCAAGUUAAAGAAAAUAAUUACUUCUGUUUAAGGUUGAUUUUGAAAAAGCAUACGAUUAAGUUGACUGGAGGUAUUUAGAAGAGGUUAUGAGUAAAAUGAAUUUUCCAUUUGCUUGGCGUAAGUGGAUGAUGGAAUGUGUUACUUCAACUUCAGCAUCGGUUCUUGUCAAUGAGAGUCUGACUGAUGAGUUUAUUUUGGAGAGAGGGCUUCGUCAAGGUGAUCCUCUUUCUCGUUUUCUUUUUCUAUUAGCUGUUGAAGGUUUAAAUGUUUUGAUGAAUGCGAUGGUGGAUAAUGGAAUAGUUAGUGGGUACAAUGUUCGGGCGCAAGAUGCUUUGACCGUAACUCAUUUACAAUUUGCUGAUGAUACCCUUUUGAUUGGUGGAAAAAGUUGGGCGAAUGUUUGCGCUUUGAAAAAUGUUUUGCUUUUAUUUUUGAAAAUAUCUGGUUUAAAAAUAAAUUUUCAUAAAAGCAUGUUGUUUGGUAUUAAUGUGGCGGUUUCUUGGCUCCAUGAGGCGGCGGUUGUUAUGAAUUGUAAGCAUGGUUGCUUACCUUUCGUGUACUUGGGGCUCCCGACUGGUGUUGAUCCGAGAAAGCUUUAGUUAUGGAACCCUUUGGUUCAGCGUAUUAGAAGUAGACUUUCUUGUUGGAAAAGCAAAAAUCUUUCGUUGGGGUUCGGAUGAUUCUCCUUAAGUCUGUACUGUCUAUUCCGGUUUAUUUUCUUUCCUUCUUCAAAUCUCCCUCAGGUAUCAUUUCUAUCCCUGACUCUUCAGUUUGGAGGUUUUGGGGAUUUUUCCAACAAGUCUUGUUUGACUUUUAAUAUUAUUUGGAUUUCAACUCUUUUUACUAUAUGGAAGGACCGCAAUAUGAGACAUUUUUACAAUAAAUCGGAACACCUGCUAUCUUUAUUGAAAAAGAUUAAACUACAAGUCUUUUGGUUGUUUAAAUAUAAUCUCAUAAUGCUGUUUUUGAUUUUGAUUAUUCAUUAUGUUUUUAGGUUGUAACAUAAUUUUAUUCUUCUUGGCUACUUUGUGGUAACAUAUGGAUCGUCUUAUUGUAAUUUUUAAAUACUUUAACUUCCUUUUAUACAUCUUGUACUAGAGGAUCCUGUGGUGGUUUUUAUAAUAUUUUGUUUAACUUCUUAAAAAAAACACGACACUCCUAAUAAAAGAUAUAUAUAUUUGAUUUUUGUUUUUAGAUAAAUAUAUUUGAUUUUUGAAGUCGUUUAUUAAGUCGUAUGAAAGACGCUUGUUCAAAAAAGUCGUAUAAAAAACGAAUAUCGCUUUGGGGAUGCUAUAGUAUGUCUUGUAGCUAUAAUUGAAACAUUAGCCAUGGGAGUGGAACCCAAAACUACAAUGAAUUAAUUUUUUUUUGUUUUAAAUAUUUGGGACCAAGGAAAAUGGGCUGAGCUGUCUUUGUGACCUAUUUUUGCUAUAGAAUAGACAAAUGUUCUUUAAAUCAAUUUGUCCACAAACCCUAGCGACAGUGAGUAAGGAAGGAAAAGUCAGCAUUUAAUUGUUACUCCAACACGGUUAAAAUUCUGUGUAGUAAAAAAUAGCGGAUUAUGAAUAAGUUACCUUAUAGCGAAUGACUUAUAAGUUGAUUUAUGUUUGUUAAAGGAUAAAAUAACUGAUUGGGUUUGUAGUAUUUAUUAAAAUUAACGGUUGAUUUUUUUCUUCUUCCAGCAACACCUUAUUAGUAUAAGUAAUGAUAUUUGAACAACUAUUUUGGUACAACUUUGUUGUUCUCUCUUCUUAUUGGUCAAAAACAAUGGAGAGAGAAAAAUGAAGAGAGAGAAUAAGAAGAUAAUGUGAGUAUGAGAGAGAGAGUUAUACAAAAGUUGUACAAAAAUGGUUGUACGAAUAACAUUUGUCUAUUGAGUUAGUAUAUUAAGAAAAAAAAAGUAAAAAAAGAGAGGGGGUGUAGACCAAAACACUCAAAGAAAGAAAUUUAGGAUUAAAAUCAAAGCUUCAAGUCGACACCUUUGGGAGCAACUACACUGAGCGUAAAUUAACUGAUUCUCUGCAUAGUCAAUUUUGAUGGACAAGACCAGAGAAAGCUUCACUUUGACUUUAAAUAAAUGGACAAUGACACAAAGCCUCUUAGAUUAAUUAGACCUUAUAUUAUAUACCUCUCUGAUUAAUUGGCAAGAAUCAAUAUGCGACAUUUGUGAAAGAAAAAAAAAGUAUAAACUGUUUCGUAUUAGCGUGGCAGGUCCUCGCGAGCUUACCUCAGUUGAUAGGGACAAUGCAUAUAUUAUGUAAGGUCCGAGGUUCAAACCUCAAUCUUUACCAAAUAAAUAUUAGCGUGGCAGAAAUCACGGGUUAAGUGGAUCAUUAAUUAUGCAGUCGUGUUAUUUUUGUAUUAAUGCUUUUAUAAUAUUAAGCAUUUUCCAAAAAAAAAUGUAUCUUUCCUUUAAAACCGAAGGUAUGUACGCGAAGAAAACUAUAUGGUUUUCAAGCAGUUAGUUGGUAAAAGUUACAUAACACAGUCUCUCUAACCUAAGUUAUAUAUAUAUAUAUACAAUUUAUGAAGUCGUUUAUUAUGGAAACAAUUAUCCACAAAUCACAAAUGUAUUAUCUAAAAACCUAAAUCCUUAACAAAAUCUGCAGAAAAUGGAUUACCUGCGGAAUUGUUACCAAAUUCUGCGGGUAAAUCUGCAGGAAAGUUGGGAGUUUAUAGUAGUGGCAGUUCAAACCCAUAUAAAAAACGAAUAUCUCUUUGGUGAUUCUAUAGAAUGUCCUGUAGUUAUAAUAGAGAAAACAUUAUCUGUGGAAGUGGAACCCAAUAUACAAUGAGUUAACAAAAUAAAUUAAAUAUCUGGGGACCAAGGAAAUUGGGUUCAGUUGUCCUUGUAACCUAAUUUUCAUAGAAUAGACAAAUGGUCUUUAAAGCAAUUUGUCCACAAAACCAAACCACACUUCAGUAAGGAAGGAAAAGUCAGCCUAUAAUUGUUACUCCACUCAACUUAAUUGAGAUUCUGUUUGAUAAAAAAUAAUGGAUACUUAAGGCAGAUAACUUAUAAGUAUAAAAUAAUAACAUAAAAAGAACUAUUUUUAAUUAUUAUUUAUUUAUUUAUUUUAAUUAAGAUUGCAUGAGCGAAAUUGAGAUAAAUAAUGAUAAUGAUAACUUACUUGAAUUGACUCGUCAAAAACUACUAUAAACUCAUAAAAUAAGCUAUACGCUCAUGAGAAAAUAACGGUUUUUAAAUAAGUCUUUUUUAGUUCAAUUGUGUUUUAUCAAACAUACCCUAAACGACACAUUUGAAUUGUACGUAAUUUUUUUUUAAAAAGUCAAUAAUUGGAUGAAUUGCAUCGGUUUCAAUUGAUAUCAUUUAUUAAAAUAUUUUUAUUAAUUAUAGUUAGUAGUAAUUAGAUAAGUGAAAUUCAAUAAAAUGAGUGUAACUACAGGACAAAAAGUAAGUUAAAGGACCAAAAAGAAACUUUUAAUAGUUAAGGGACCAAAAUGAAACCAAAAAGUAAAUUAAGGGACCAAAACGAAACUUUUAAUAGUUAAGAGACUAAAACGAAACCAAAAAAUAAGUUAAGGGACCAAAAGAGUAAUUAAACCAUUUUUUUUUACAAAACAAUAAAUGAAAGUAUGUUAAUGAAAGUAAAAUGUAAAUGUUGAAAAUGACAAUUGCUUUAGAACAGACAAAAGUUUAAGUAUGAUAUUUUUUACGAGACAAAAAUAGUAACAUUCACAUGUAAAGACUUUUGGGUUUGUUAGGGCAAAUGUCCCACCACCUCGGAACAUUCAGAAGAGGAAAAAAUAAAUAAGGCUAAAUAAUGCAAAGGCUUUGAUUUGAAAUUGAAUUAUUUUGACUCAUUGUGUGGAUUUUAGGUAUGUUUGGUGGGUAACCUACACCAUUCAAUCAUUCCCAUCACAUAAUUAAAUGAAUCUCACUUAAUAAAAUUGAAAAUAAUAUACUCCCUCCGAUCUCAAAAACAAAAGAAGAUUUUAUUCAUGUUCAUUGAAUAGAUACUGUAUAUGGUUUAGAAUACAGAUUAGAUACAUCAUUUAUUCAAUGAAUUUAAAAAAUAAAAUCUUAUUUAUUCAUUUUUUUGAGAGUUUUCUUGUCCGUCCUUUAUUAAAUAAAAAUAAUUAUUAACUUAUUUUUUUAUUGAGCCAAAAAACUGCAUCAGCAACAUAUACUAGCAAGAAAACUCCUUUUUAGGCACCAAAAUGAGUGCCCGAAGAGCAAUUUCCUUCCAGAAAAUCCAUUCAACGAAUAUCAAAUCAAAUGAUAAUCUAUAAAUCGGAUCGAGAAAGAUUCCCUCAACAGAUCAAACAUAUAUUCACCUAUUUCUCCUAAAACCCUAUUUAGAAAAGGAAAUCAGAAAAGGAUAAAGGUACACACAUUCUAAUUCUAUACCAAAAUACCUCUCACCCACUUUAGUGAAAGAUAAACUUGAGUGUUCAAGUGAUUGCAAAUCAACACCUUCAUCGAUGAGCUCAAUCAAUGUCCUUUGUUGUGAUAUUCAAUGUCCUUUGUUGUGAUAAAAAUAACCUUAAGGCAUUAUAGAUUUUCAUACUCUGUCCAAAAAAAGUAAUUUUUGACACUUGCCAAUAUGUGCUGGAAAGCUAAGGAAUAGAGCUACACAUUUAUGUUGAAAAAAAAGCCCAAUUUAAACGUUCUACUUAUCAAAAUUGCGAAUUUCUGAAACAUUAAAGUUGACUAAGAGUUUUUGGACCACUUAAUCCUAUGUAUUGGGCCGAAUAGCCCAUAUCGGGUCAACUUAUGUUAAGACCCAUUUUGAACCGUCAAUAUAUUCCUAAGGGCUUAGAGGCCCUCCAAAAGGGUCGGAAGCCCUCCAAAAGGCUUGGGACGCCCUCGGAAAGGGCCCCAAGGCCUAGGCGUGCCCUUCCAAUGGCGUCGCCUCAAUCAGCUUGUAGAAGCCUCUAGAGCUCGGCAAAAAGACUUAAAAUCCCUCGUUGCUUAGGGCUUAAGUCACAAAAAACCAAGCCCACAAUAGGCUAUAAAAACCUCCCAUUGAGGUCUAUUAGGUGAAAUAUCUUGUCUAAAAUGGGAAGGUUACUUGUCUAAAACUUCUUGUUCAUAAUGGUCAAAUGUUGCAACGACCUCUGCACAUGUCUAUUAGGUGAAAUAUCUACGCGUCUUUUUAUGAGCUACAUAAUUUGGUUGGAAUUAGGAUUUGCUUAGUAGACAAGUAUGAGAUGUUUUUAGGAGUACAUACUUUGUAGUUGUAACCUAUUUUGAAUGUUAAGGAGGAUGAGGUUUCCGACAAGUAUUUUGUGGUUGCAACCUAUAAGAGAACGAAAGAGAAAUACCUAUAUCGAGCAGAUGCAUGAAUUAGAGUUAUGUUAGAACAACAACUAGUAACAAAAAAUUAUAAGAGAACGAAAGAGAAAGACAAUGAACACACAAUAUUUUUUAACACAGUUCGGCAAAUUGUGCCUACGUAUUGAAAAAGGAACAUGGGUCGUAUGAGAAGGAAAGGAACGAGAGCUUAAAUGGAAAAUGAGAGUGGAAAAAGGAACCGAACAAGCUUAAAUGAAGUUUGGGGAAAGCUUCGAUUGAGCCAUGGGUGAUAGAGAUUAAGGUUUCAAUCUGGGGGAAAGUGAGAUUGUGGGUAAGAGUGGUGGAGAUUUUCAUUUCAAUUUGGGGAAAAGUGAAUAAAAUUUGGUUUUAGGGUUUUGAAGCUGUGGGAGAGAGAAUGAAAAUGGAAAAGCUGGGGUGAUAGGUAUUUGGCCAAAAGAUAUAUGGUGAAGCGUGUUUGAAAAAAAAGCAUAAAACCUACGACCCUUAAGACUAACCGUCGCAGUAACAAUCACAAAAGUGUAAUCGCGACAGUUAUAAGCUAAGGGUCGCAAAGUAAGUGUCGCAAAAUGCCAAUUUUCUUGUAGUGUACCUAUGCGACUAUAGGGCAACUAUAGUUCCGUUUCUAUUACUGUGAUAAGAAUUAGGAUUUCAGUGUUACAAACUGUAUAUAUAGUACUAUCAUGAUGUAGUUCACAAUAUUACGCCUUGUCUUCUUCAAUGUCUUCUAUAUAUGAGUCAUACUUCAAAAAUAUCCAUCUUAGCGAAUAUCAAACCCUUAUGAAGACUUCUUGCAUUACAAUCACAUCCUAGCAAAAUUAUCUAUAAUAAAAAAGAUCUUAAAAAUGUGUUGAAUUUUGGUUCAAUUUUGACCCAAAAUCAUCCAUUCAAAUUAUUUUUCCUUCGUUUUUAGUUAAAUAAGUGACGUACACAUAUUUUCAACAUUCUUUCAUUUCUUUUGAUUUUCGUCUUAGUGCGGUAUUUAUUUGAUUCAGGUUGAAAGACUAAGUUUGAACAAGUGCAUAUUCAAUCCUUGACUUUGACUUCGUCAAUAUUGCAGAUCCGGAGACAUGCGUAUUCCAGAGACUUGAAUAUUUGUAAACAUAGAUACUCUGUCGUUUUAUGUUAUUAACAUGCAUGCAUGCAUGCGUGAGAUUGUUUAUAAAUUUAUCCUUUUUAUUUUUAGUAACUCUGAAUUUGUAUUAUAUUGAUGUACUUUAUCAAUUUAACUGAUCAUUUAUUUGUGUUGAAAAAAAACAAUUUUCUUUAUGUGGCCGCCAGAUUAGCUCCCAUAGUGAUUAGAAAGUAAACAAUAAAGAAAGUUACACGCAAUUUCAUGGUUGGUUGUAUAAAGUCUUGUCCAGCUAAGUUGUAACAUAAUUAAAAAAAAAAGACUAUUCAUUAUUCAAAUUUGAAAAAGAUAUAAUGAUAAAGACAUUUUAUCACCUUAUUAGUAUUAAAAAAGCACAGAUAAUCACCUAGACACUGUGGCUAAGUAAUAGUCUUAGUUGGAAAAAGAAAAGUAUUGCAUAUUCUUUUUUUUGGAGAGAAAAGUAUUGCCUAUUCUGUAAGUCAUUGUAUGAGUAAACCUAGCUAGCUACUUGCCGUACAUAUAACAUGAUUUAGAUUUACUGGCUCAAAAUAUGAGAAUGUUCCUUUAGUCAAAGAGAAAAAAGACCUAUUUGUUCUUUUUGCAAAUAGAAUUAAUUCUUACAUCAGUCUUAAAAUAUUUAUAUGUUACGGAUCGUUUUAAAUAUAGGGUCUUAUUAACUAGUACUUUUAAGAUAUUGAUUAAUAAAUCCAAUAACAGAAACUUUGUUUUCGGAAUAUAAAUUUUUACUUUUUACUAAUCAAUAAUCGCAUCACUUUUUUAACGUAAAUUUAUUAAUUUUAACACCAUAACCAAUGCCUCAAAGGCAUUUAUUAUUAUUCCCCUUAAAUAUAAUAUCUUCUUAAGUAAUUUUUUGUCUUUGUUUUAUGACUAUUUUGAUAAUUUUAUGUAAGCAAUAAGUAAAUUAAUAAUAAAUACUAUAACGAAUAAAACACUAGAAAAAGCAAAAUUAAGGAGGGAAAUUAGUGACGGAAAAAAUAAAAUCCCUUACAAAAUCUUUGGUCAUAAAAUUUAGUGACGGAAUUAGAGAAUGAUUUCAUAUUUUUGCUCUCUAAAUUUUCCUCACUAGUUUUUGCUUUUUAGUAGUGAAAGUUUUAUGUGGAGUGUUGCAAGAAAGCUAGCAGUUUGCAACAGGAGCACUAUAUGUUUACGACAACGAGUUGGAGUAUAUGGAGGAGUAGGAAUGCAUCGUUAUGGGAGGAUGUAUUUGCGAGAGUUGUUGAAGUAAUUUAUCGCGGUAAUGUUUUACUUAAGGAGUGGAGGGAGCACAUCAAGAAAAUGGAAAGUUUUGAUUCAAUUUCAACAUUUCUUCACCUUGACUCUAAAUUAGUGAUGAUGAAGAAGAACUCUCUCAGCGCAAAAUUGGGGCCCGAUUUUCGCACAUCAGGGGCCGAAUUUUUACAAGACAAAAGUCUCAAAACACCAUGUCACAAGCGGAGAAGACCGAGAUGGUGGACAAGGCUAGGAGUGACAUUGUCUUAUGCCUCGGGGAAAAAGUUUUGGGGGAUGUCGCUAAGGAACCAAACGCGACAUCGAUGUGGUCAAAGUUGGAGUCAUUGUAUAUGACAAAGUCUUUGGCUCAUUGGCAAUUCCUAAAGCAAGCACUCUACUCAUUCAAGAUGGUGGAGUCAAAGACCACCAUGGAGAAACUUACAGAGUUCAACAAGAUCCUUGAUGAUUUGGAGAACAUUGAGGUGCAUCUUGUGGAUGAAGAUAAAGAUAUACUCUUGUUCUGUGCGCUACCGAGAUUAUUGGAAUCUUUCGAGGAUACAAUGAUUUAUGGCAAAGAAGGCACUGUCACCUUAGAAGAUGUUCAAACGGCUUUGAGAACCAAGGAGUUGACCAAGUCCAAGGAUUUGAUAGCUGAUGAAAACGGUGAAGGUCUAAGUGUUUCAAGAGGGCAUGGUGGAGGUAGAGGUAAUCAGAGAAAGGGCGGUAAAAAGUCAAAAUUUAAGUGCUUUAACUGUCACAUGAUGGGUCACUUCAAGAAGGAUUGUCCGGAGAACAAUGAUAAUUAUCUCCGACGGUUAUGAGGAUUCGGGUGCUUUGGUGGUGUCUCAUUGGGGGUGAAAUGUUGAAAUUGAGUCAAAAUUUGAUGAAUGAAGAAGAUUGUUGCUAAAAAUAUAAAAUAUCGAUGCGUCUAUUUAUGAGCAUCAUAAUUACGUUGGAAUCUUGAUUUGCUUAGUGGACAAGUAUGAGAUGUUUUGGGACAAGUAUGAGAUGUUAAGGAGGGUGAGGUUUCAGCAUAUAUCGAUCGGAUGCAUGAAUUAGAGUUCAACAAAGUUAUCUUUACUUUAGAUUCAAAGAGUGUUGUGGACUCUUUAAACUUACUCACCAAUAAUAGAACCGAUGCAUAUUCCAGUUUAAGUAGAUGUUAUAGUAAUUUAAAUCAUCGUUUUGUAAAAACUCUUUUGCUGAUUGUUUUAGAAGAGAGAGUAAUAUGUUUGCUCCUAACUUUGCUAAGGUGACUAUAGGUCCGUUUGUUAUAGCUUUUUAUUAAAAAAAAUUUAACAAAGAAAUUUUCAAAGAAAACUUCAAAUGAAAAAUUCGUUUGAAUAACUUAUCUUAAAAUGUCAUUUUAAAUAGUUCAUCAUUUUGUUAUAUUCUUUUUUGGAUACUAAAAUUUGGAAAAAAUCUCUAAAAUAUAAACUAUUUCAAAUAGUUUUUUAUAAAAAUAUUUUUCAAAGAUAUCGUUUUGAAAAAAAUAUGAAAGAAUUAAAUUUAGAAGGUUCUCGUUAGUAUUCAUACAAUUUCAAACCUUUGAACUAUAGUACAAUAAUUAAUCCUCAAUAAGCAGAAGCUUCUUAAUAUUAACCAUAAUAUUUUCACUCAAAGGGAUCGUCAUGUUUUUUAAUAUCUUUUUCAUCAAGCAUGCAUUUUUAUGUUAGUACAAUCAAUCGAUAUUGUCUUUUAUUUUUUUAACUCACAGUCCACAUUAUCUAUCCACCUAUAUAUAUAUAUAUAUAUAUAUAUAUAUAUAUAUAUAUACACCCAUGAAGGUGUCUUUUAGCAACCCACACCUCAAGGUGUGAUUUUCACUUUUUAGUUAUAACUUUGCUAAAAGACACCUUCAUAAAAAUUAGUUGGUGUCUUCUAACAAAUGCUAAUAUAAUAACUUGCUAAAAGACACCUUCAUAAAAGGUGUCUUCGACUUCUAGCAAAACUCAUAUAUAUAUAUAUAUAUAUAUAUAUAUAUAUAUAUAUAUAUAUAUAUAUAUUUUGAAGAAUUCCACCUAUAUAUUUAAAAUGACCUUUAAAAUUAUAUAAAAGAGACCUUUCCUAGAAAAAUAUAUAGAAUAAAAAAGACCUUAAAAAUGUGUGGUAUUUUACAUGAUAUAUGGCGGCCAGAUUAGAUUAGUUCCCCUUGGUGAUUAGAUAGUUAACAAUAAAAAAAGUUACAUAAUAUCUUGUAUAAUAUAUUUUUAUUUUUUUUGAAGGAUGGUUGUAUAAUAUCUUGUCCAGCUAAGUUGUAACAUAAUUCAAAAAAAGACUAUUCAUUAUUCAAAUUUGAAAAUGAUGUAAUAAUGAUAAAGACAUUCUAUCAACCUUAUCAGUAUUAAAAAGGAAAAAGAAAAGUAUUGCAUAUUCUGUAAGUCAUUGUAUGAGUAAACCUAGCUAACUACUUGUCUUACAGCAGUCUUAAAAUAUUUAUUUGUUACAGUUCGUCUUUAAGUAUAAUAUCUUCUUAGUAAUUUUUUGUCUUUGUUAUAUGACUAUUUUUGAUAAUUUAAUUGUCUCUAUUAAUUAUUUUUUUCAAAAUUAAUACGUCUAAUUAUUGUAGAUACUUUUUUUUUUUUUUAUGUAAACAAUAAGUAAAAUAAUAAUAAGUACUACAAAAGAUAAAUUUAGGAAAAAAAAAUAGUAUAAUUAGGUAAAAAAAUUGUCUGUUUUAUUGUAAUUUUUAGGAAACAAUAAGUAAAUUUAACUAAAAAUUGUCUAAUGAGGUAAAUUACCUAAAAAUGGCAUAAUGAUAUAUAUCACCUAAACAUGUCUGUCUUAAUAACAAAUGAAGUAGUAAAAUUGAUUAAUGAGAUUUAUAUGAAAAAGUGGUUAGCAACAUAAGUUUCUCAUAUGACUGUAUUUGUGUCAAAUUUUUGUGGUCCAAUAUCAUUGCUCAUAUCUUUUUUGGUUACAAUCAUUGCUAUAUGAUUUUACUUUUUUAGGAGUGCUAAUAUGAUAUAUCUAUCAAGCAAACUAUUUUAUUAUUAUAUAUGACGUAAAUUUUCCAAUAAUUGAUACUCUCUUUUAGGUCACAUUUACAAGCAAUUUUGCUUUAUCAUUUAUUGAAUAACUGAUAUAUUUAGACUAUAAUAUAGUUCAGAUACAUCAGUUGUUUAUAUCUGAUAAAGUAAAAUUUGCUUAUAAAUAUAAGUGGAGGGAGUAUCAUAGUAGCAAUGGUACACUACUAGAAAAAGUAAAAUUAGCGAGGGAAAUUAGUGACGUAAAAAAUGAAAUUCCUCACAAAUUUUUUGAUCGAAAAUUUAGUGACGAAAUUAGAGAGGGAUUUUAUGUUUUCCCUCACUAAAUAUUCCUCACUAAUUUUUGUUUUUUUGGUAGUGGUAAACUAACCUGCUCCAUAUGAACAUAACCUUAGAUAUUGACCAGUUCCAUGCAUAUACUUUUCCACGUUAAUGACAAGACAAAUCAAAUUCCUAAUAGCAAUUUUUAAAUGUCUUUGUCAAAACAAAAAUGUCUUUGUCAUAAUAUAAUAAAUCGUUUUUAAAAUGCCUAUAUCAACGCGUGGAUCAAACAUACAAUAAUAAAAAAACUCAUGGAUCAGACACACUUCAUGAUUGAUGAUUGUGAACACUACCCCACAGUUAAAUUUUGAGAAUUUACUGCUCUAUAUAUUAUAUCUCAUCAUGAAUGUAUUGAGGAGAAAAUCACAUCAUGAUUUACUGACUUUAUGGCAGGAAAACCAUCGUAAGAAUAAUAAUGCUUGUCCAUAUGAUCCAGUUCCAUGCAUAUACUUUCCAAUAGUUGGAAUAACAGUUAAAGGAAAAUUUCAUUAAAAAAAAAUUGUUGAAGGAAGAGUGAUUUUUAUUUGUGUUUAAACACAAGACAAAAGUAGAAAACAGCGAGAGAGAAAGGAAGAGAGAACACAAAAUAAUUUGUUGAUUCAGUUCGGUCCAAAUUAACCUAGUUUAGGGAGAGAACAGCCAUCCAUUUUACUAUAUGAUGAGUAACCUUACAAAAGAGAUAUCAAUGGGUUACAAGAAUAAAUCUCCCACUUAAUUAUACCUAAAGUCUCAAUCUCUUCCCGUAACCAAUAGACUCGAUCUUAAUAGUGUUUCCCAACGUGAAACAACCCUCAAACCCUAGUGUUUGUUCCAGAGACAAACUCUAUACAAACCCUAGUUUUGUUGUUGCAUUUCUAAACCCUUGUUUCAGCCCCUUUAUCUCAAGGUUUACAAUGAUACAAUGUCUAUAUUUAAAGUAAAAGAAUCCUCAAUAAAACUGGAACAAAUCUAGGCCCGAAAAUAUGUUUCUGUUUUAUUUUCUGCUGUCAAAAUCAGUCACCAUGCUCACCAAAUUGGCCACCGAUUUUUGCCGAAUCUGAAGCUCAAAUAAAAUAGUAUUCCAAUUUCUUUAAUUUUGAGGCACUUUCACAACAGAUAACAUGUAAAGUUUUUCAAAGUUUGCUGCUGACAAAGCACAGAUUAAUUUGAUCAUAUACCUAAUAAAUACCGAUUUGAAUUACUUUGAAAUUGUCAAGAAAAGUUUUUUCUUGGUACAAGUAAAUAAAAAACAAAGUUUUUACUUACCUUGAAAUUAGCUGACAAACCCAAAUAAUAAAAUAAUGAUUAAUACAUCUAAACUUCUAUAUUUAUACAUAAAGGAUACAUGACUUUAUAUUGGUUCUUUAUCUUCUAAUUAUUCUAAUAUAUAUACUCUUUAAGAUUAAAAUAAAAUAAGUAUAUGAUUUAGCACAAUAGAAAACUAGGACGAACAUAUAGUACUUAUUAUUAUAAAAUUUUAUUUACCUUCGACCAUACUUCGAUUUAUGAAGAUUCAGAUUCUUAAAGUAUCGAAGGGUUAACACAAUAAUAACUAAAAAUAUAUAUAAAAAAGAUGGGUACAUAGAAUCCAUUUUAACACUAAUACUACUAAAAUAAAAAAAACAAAGGUAGUGUCAACAUUUUCCAGCUAAUAAGCUCACUUACUUUAAAUAAUUUCAUUCAUGAAUAGUUUGCUGUCUUUAUCAAAUACAUAUCCACGUUCCAUGAAUAAACAACUUGUGUCACAUUGGUCCAAAAAGCAUACUGAAUUAUUCAAAGGCAGGCCAUUAUUUGUAUCCUAUGUUUUAAAUUAAUAAUAACCUCAGAUUUGUAAAAAUAAUUUGUUAAAAAAGGAUUACAAGAAUUUUUAUUGUAUUUUUUUUAGAGAGGUUGAAAACUAGGUGAAUUUUAAUAUGUACCAAAUCAAAGUUCAGUAACCAAGAUGAAUAGUUAAGUUAAAGUGGUAAUGAAAAAACUAUAUAAAGGGUGAUGCUGCCUUCAUUACAUCAACAACGAAACCCACUUUGGGAAAAAGAUGGGGUCUCAAAUGGCCUCUAUUACUCUCACUAUUGCAUUGGCAAUAAUCUCUCUUACCUUGCCAUCCCAAACUUCAGCAAACAGCUACAUCUAUUCAUCUCCACCACCACCACCAAAGCCUUACUACUACCACUCUCCACCACCACCGGUGCACUCACCACCUCCUCCUUACCAUUACAGUUCCCCACCACCACCUCCAAAGAAGCCAUACAAAUACGCUUCUCCUCCACCUCCAGUUUACAAGUACAAAUCACCUCCUCCACCAGUGUAUAAGUAUAAGUCUCCUCCUCCACCACCGAAGAAGCCAUAUAAAUAUCCAUCUCCACCACCACCAGUUUACAAGUACAAGUCACCUCCUCCACCAGUUUACAAGUAUAAAUCUCCUCCACCACCAGUUUACAAGUACAAAUCACCUCCUCCACCGGUGUACAAGUAUAAAUCCCCUCCUCCACCAGUGUACAAGUACAAGUCUCCUCCACCACCACCUAAGAAGCCAUAUAAAUACCCAUCUCCACCACCGCCAGUUUACAAGUACAAAUCACCUCCACCACCGGUGUACAAGUACAAAUCUCCUCCACCACCAGUUUACAAGUAUAAAUCCCCUCCUCCACCAGUGUACAAGUACAAGUCUCCUCCACCACCACCAAAAAAGCCAUAUAAAUACCCAUCUCCCCCACCACCAGUUUACAAGUACAAAUCACCUCCUCCUCCAGUUUACAAGUAUAAAUCUCCUCCACCACCAGUUUACAAGUAUAAGUCACCUCCUCCCCCAGUUUACAAGUACAAAUCUCCACCACCACCACCCAAGAAACCAUACAAGUAUCCAUCACCACCACCACCAGUUUACAAGUAUAAGUCUCCCCCUCCACCUGUCUACUCACCACCACCAGUUUACAAGUAUAAGUCUCCUCCUCCACCUGUCUAUUCACCACCUCCACCAUAUAAGUACAAAUCUCCACCACCUCCUCCUUAUAAGUACCCAUCACCACCACCACCAGUUUACAAGUACAAGUCACCUCCUCCCCCAGUUUACAAGUACAAAUCUCCACCACCACCACCCAAGAAACCAUACAAGUAUCCAUCACCACCACCACCAGUUUACAAAUAUAAGUCCCCUCCUCCACCUGUAUACUCACCACCUCCACCAGUUUACAAGUAUAAGUCUCCUCCUCCACCCGUCAAUUCACCACCUCCACCAUAUAAGUACAAAUCUCCACCACCUCCUCCUUAUAAGUACCCAUCACCACCACCGCCAGUUUACAAGUACAAAUCACCUCCUCCUCCAGUUUACAAGUACAAAUCUCCACCACCACCACCCAAGAAACCAUACAAGUACCCAUCACCACCACCACCCGUUUACAAAUAUAAGUCCCCUCCUCCACCAGUUUACAAGUAUAAAUCUCCUCCUCCACCUGUUCACUCACCACCUCCACCACACUAUGUCUACUCUUCACCUCCUCCUCCGGUCUAUUCCCCUCCUCCACCACAUUACAUAUAUUCAUCACCUCCUCCUCCUUACCACUCUUAGAUAACGGUUUACCAUAGUAUCCCAUGGUAUGCUUCUUUUUUAGUACGACCAAUAUCUUUAUGAUUAAAAUGCUUCGAGAAAUACUAAUUUAUAUAUCAACAAAAUAUAUGUAUUUUAUCAACGAAACAAUUAAAUAAGAGAAUCAAAAUUAGUGAUUUGAAUAGUUUUACAUGCCAACACAUGCAAGUCGUUAUAUAGACCUCACAUUCAUUUUAUUCUUAUUAUUCUUAUAGUCUAAAUAGUACAAUUUUCUUGAAACGUCUAAAUUGACAUACAUCUUAUGGUACAGUUUACAAAAAUCAAUCUAAGCCUAUUUUAUUUCUAUUUAUAGUAUUAUAUGUAAAUAGAAAAAAUAUACAAACUAAAAGGAAAGUUGACAGUUAUGUUUCUUAUUAAUGCUUCUCACUCGUAUUGUUCUUUGAGUGCUUAAUUAAUGUGUUUAUGUGUUUGUAUAUACUUUUGUAGGGAUUAAGGAAUAUUGGAAAUAAAGAGAACAUAGUGCAAAGCAGGAAGAUGCAUUUAGCAAUAAGGGAGAAAAACAACGGAAGCAAAGUUUCCAUGCAUUUUGGUCUCAGAAAAAGUCACUUUGUUUUUCUUAUUUGUUUGUAUAUGAAUUAUUAUUCUCAUUAUUGAGUUUGGUUAUUGAAUUUAGACAGGUGUAAUACACUGUGUGUAAUAUCGUGAAUGCAUUUUGUUUUGGAACCUACUCUUUGCAAGGGGUUGGUUGGGAAAAUAAAAUUGAAUAUUUGUUCUACUAAUUCUUUGCAUAUUUAUUGUGAAAUUACAAUAUAAUCAAUGCUCAACUAAUUAUUUUUUUCAACAGAAAACUAAUGCAUUUCAUUAAAAAUUAAAGGACCAAUAUAAAGGAGAAUGUCAAAUUAUAAAGCUAAGAAUUUCUGAAAAAAAAAAUAAAGUUGAGAACUGACGCUGUAUAUGUUUAGCUUAGCAAAGGUGCAUUGUGCAUCCAUAUUAGUCUCUCUCCUACAAAACUCGACAUAAGAAUUAUUACAUAAUAACGAUAAAGUACUACAAUAUCUACUUAAAAUAGAAUCUACAUAUCAAUAGCUGUUAAUAAGUUUAAAGUCUCACCCUCACUCAAUAACUUAUUUAAGCAUUGAAUGUUCAAUCCAAUUGCUAUUAAUUUCGACAAGCCGGUCCUAAUUUACUCUCUCUCGGUUUUCUCUUCCAGUUUCUUCAUUGAGGAGUUAUUUUGGGUCAAUUAUUGACCUGAAAUCACUCCUCUUCAUCUUUUUAUGCCUAUUUCAAUCUAAAUAAGUGAUUUUCACAUAGAUUUAGGUUUUUUCUUUGUGGUUUUAUCAUCUAAGUGUGGUGGUUUGUUGUUCGUCGUCUUGUGCGGCGUUGUUCGAUUUCACGUUUCUUGCGGUGUUCAUUUAAUUCAUAUUGAAAGAUUGAUUAUUCAAUCGAAGAUUUGGGCGUCAACGUUGCAGAUCCGGAUGCUAUGGAUAUUCCGGUCACUUUAAUUUUAUCAUAUAUUUUUUGUUGUGAAAACCACACCAAUAAUAAACUUGAUGCGUGGAGCAAAUUAAUACCAAGUAAUCAAAUCAAGCGGGUAGCAAAUAAUUCAAACAAAAGUAAACGACAAGAGAUAAAAGGAAAGAAGGAGAACACAAGAAUUUGUUUACCCAGUUCGGUCUAAUGAUGACCUAGUCUAGGGGAGAUAGCAGCUCUCUGCUUCACUAUAAUGAUAUGAGUUUCUUUACAAAGAGAUAUUGAAUUACAAGAAUCAGUCUUCAAACCUAAUUCUACCCAAGUCCCAGCCUCUUCCCGUGACCAAGAGACUCAAUCCUAAUGGUGCUUUGUUCAACGUGAAUCAAAACAAUCCCAACCCUAGUGUUUGUUGCCAAGAGAAAUUCUCUAUAAACCCUAUUUUCUACACAGUGUUUUGUUUCUACACACUCUCAGUCUCUCAAAUAUUCAUAUGAUACAAAGCUUAUAUUUAUAGUGGAAAGCAUUCCUCAAAAAUUGGAAACAGGCCCACAAGCUGUUUUAUUUUUCUCAUCUUGCGAGAAAUCGGCCAUCAAGUUUGGAAAAUCGGCCACCGAUUUUUCACGAGACAAAAGUCUCCAAAACCAGGUCAAAAUCGACCACCGUGUGGUGUAACACCCCAUUCCCAAAUAUAAUUUAUUUAAAUGAAAUAAACACACAUCAGAGUAAUAAAUCCAAAUGGGCAUGUCACACUACAUUUUCAAAUUUCUGAAAUAGAAUAUAAAAAAUCUAUUUAUUAAACAUCCAAUGAAAUCAUCAUUUAAUAUGCAGCGGAAUAUUAUCAACGAAACGUCAACAACUGUUUAAACCUCCAAAAUAAUAUCUCAGCAUAAAAAGCCUCAACCAGAAUAAUUCAUCAACCAUAGGGCUACAACAACAUUAACCAAAAUUUGAUACAUAGAAUGAAAGAAAACAAUAAAAUCCCAUCCCACGUAUCAGAGCCCUAGACACUUUGAGCCACCACCUACUACUCAGGAUCACCUGCAAGUUACCCAUAGGAAGGGCAACAUUUCCAAGCAGAAGGGGUGAGAUUCUCAAUCAAUAAAAAUAAAAUAUAAUAACAUCAAUUGAAAAUCUAGCACCUUACAACAUCAAUGAUUAUUCAAUAAGCAUAGGUAUUUCAUAAUCGACAACAAUCAUUCAAAUAUAGAAUUCAAUCAACAAUGCAACUCAUGAUAUGACAUGACACCCCCCUUUAAUACUCCUCAAUAAAUGCAACUAUGCAUGUGGUACCAUAAUUCAGGGCCAUGACCCACACCACUGUCGAAUGGUUAAAGCAUUCUCAGCAGGACCUAAGUCCUCACCGCUCCACACCGCUUUGAACAACUAGUGUUCCACCGCUUUGAACGACAAGGCGUUCCAGAGCCGAAGCUCUCCCACUUUGAUGUUUAUGCAACUACCCCACCUGUGUAUAUCUACAUACAACUCGACCACUACAUAUGUAUCAUAUGACUUACUACUCCACAACUCAAACAAUCCAGACUUACACAAUUAUUUAUAAUUAUGCACAUACAUCAAUCAUCUCCGACAUUCACUAACACCAAUCAAUCCAAUCACUGGCUAGUUUAAAUAGGAUUUGGUCACCUACACCAGGGUUAUAUUAGUUAAAGAGGAAGUUAAAGAACGCUCAAGAAGUCCCCUCAUGCACUAAGCAACAGUUCAGAAAAGGCUGAUUAAGGUUCACUUCGCUUAAGCGACGGCUAGUUCGCUUAAGCGACCAGCUUACAGUAGGUUCUGGGUUCAGUUCGCUUACGGGUCGCUCACGGUUCGCUUGAGCGAACUUUGGACAGAAUGAAAAUGGUUUUUCGCUCACAGGGUCGCUUACCAUUCGCUUAAGCGAAAUCUUGGCAGAACCAAACUUAAUUUUCGCUUACCAGUUCGCUCACGGUUCGCUUAAGCGAACGGGUAAAAUCGCAUUCUGGGCAGCUUGCUUGAAUGCUCGCUUAAGCGACGGAUGCUUCGCUUAAGCGACCACUCAUCUGGGCAGUGCAAAACCUACGGUUUCAGACCUCUUCUCACUCCAAAAACCCCAUUUUAAUCCCCUGAUCACCCAAAAUGUUUUCCAACAGAUGUUUACAGGUCCUAUAUACAACUAGGCAUUACAAAGAAACACAAUUCAGCCAUCAACAACAACAAUUAUAGAAUCAUUCCACCAUCACACAAUAUUUCAUCAAUUCAUACAAUUCAUCCAAAAUUCAAUCAAUUCAUGGAUUACAGCAACAACAUGGAUUAAGAUUUCGUUCUUAACAUUAAAUUCCAAGAAACUAACAUCAUCUUUACUCAUUCCAUCAGAAUCAUCAUCAAACCCUAACUUUCAUCUUAUUUUCCAAAACUAUUCAAUUAGGUCAAUUUCAGAAAUUAUAGAUUAUGAUUAUUGAGAGAUAGUCUCACCCUUACCUUAGUUUUGCAGAAAAUUAGACAGCAAGGAUCGAUUUCUAGGCUCUCCUCUCUAGCUCUUGCUCUUCUUCUCCCUUUUCCCAAAACUUGUCUGUUGUACGUGAAACUGUUUUCUGACUAUUCCUUUUCCUAACUCCCCAAAACUAUAACUCCCCCUAUUACAUUAAACUCCAUUAAUUUUUAUUAAAUUCUAAUUAACUCCCUAAUUUCUAAAAUAAUAUUAAUUUCCAGUUAUUUUAAUUAUUAUUAUAUUAAACUAUAUAAUAAAAUGCACACACCACAUAAAUCACCAAAAAUCAUAUAAAAUCACAUUUGAGACUCCACAUAAUUCAAAAUAAAAUAAAAUAAUACUAGGGCGUUACAUGUGGUACAAAUUGGACACCGAAUUUGACAGACAGGAUGCACAUUUUUGAGUCACUUUUCAACAUUUUUGUAGGCAUUAUGUCGUUAUAUGCUAUUAAUUAACUUUGAUGUUGUGAGUUUAUUAGCAGAUUCAUCCUUUAAGUUUUUAGCGGUGUUGAAUGAUGUAAUCUCGAUUUGAAUGAAUGAAUAUCAUUUUAUUUUUGUAAAAAAAAAAAAAAAAAAAACUAUAUACAUCAUUACUGUAAUUUUUUUUACAACAUGUAUCAAUCAUUUUGUUACAUUUUGUAUUAGUUACUAAAGUAUAUCUACAAAUAGUCUAUGUCGUUAAUUGUGAUCGAAUGCACACAGAUUUUUACAUUAAAAUUUUGCAAACCAUCAAAGUUAAAAAAACAUGCAUAGAACAAACCUUGGGAUAUGUAUUCGAGAUGACGAAAACACUUUUUGUGUUGGAUAAAACUUUGUCCAUCACUGCAAUGUAUAAGCAUACGGGAGAAGUUUUGGGUUUUUUCCAAUCGUUACACUAAUUAAGUGAUAUGUAAUUUGACAAUGUUGACUUUACAUUGUACUCAAAGAUUAUUACAAAUGGUUUCCAUCAUCAUCGUGUUCAUGUUACAUAAUUUGGUCAAGUGAUUUCAGCUUACAGGGGCCUCUUUAAUACUUAUUUCACAAACUCUUAGGACGAGUUUAACAGACGACAAACCAAUGAGGUAGUUCACAUCCUUGUUGGGUUGUCAAAUUAUCAACUAAUCUCACUAUUUAUUCGCAUGUAAUUCGUUGUAUAAGCACUCUUAUUAUUAAUUAAACUAGCGAGUUAACCCGUGCAAUGUAUGAGCGACAUAUGCUACUAUUUUUUAAUCUCCAAAAUUAUAUUCUUUUUUUUGUUUUUUUAUAUAUCACUAGCGAAAAGACAAGCACUCUCGUGCCCGUCUUUCCGCUCUUUUUAUUGCGUUAAUGUUUGAAAAUUAUGAACAAUAUUUUUUUAUGAAAUUUUGAUUUUGAUUAAAACUAUAUAUAUAUAUAUAUAUAUAUAUGUUUGUUGCUUUAAAAUUAUAACAAAUCAAACUAAUCAUGAUUAUCUAUUUCAUUGAAACCAACAAUAUAACAAAAAAAAUAUAAUCUAAACUCUUAUUUUUUUAAUGACACCAACAACGAUCUUUAUUAUAGAAAAAGUUAUUUGAGGGUAUAAUUGAAAUAGUAAAAAAGUAAGUAUAUAAAAAUACUCAUCUAGUUUGUUAGACAUUUUAAAAGAUAAAAGAAAAAAAUUAGACAUAUAUAUAUAUAUAUAUAUAUAUAUAUAUAUAUAUAUAUAUAUAUCGUGUUUCUUACACUUUUAUUUUAAUACAUGAAUUUGCUUUAAUCUAUUUGUUUUGUGUUAUUUGUAUUGAAAGUUAAGGGUAAUUUUGGAAAGAGAAAAAUUCAGCCUAAAAGAGUCUAAAUAUGCUAUUUUCUUUAUAUAUAGUAUAAAUUAACUAACAUUUUAUAAGUUAUAGCCGGCCCUAGUUUUCUAGUGAGAGAAACUCCAACUUCUCUCUAGACUUUCUUUCUCCUUCGUUCAUCGAGGAGGGGUGGUUUUAGGUCAUUUUUUGACCUAGAAUCACCCCUCUACAUCUUUUUUCCCCUUUUCUUUCAAUCUAAAUAAGUGGUUUUCACAUCUAUCAAGUUUUUCGUUUUGUGUUUUUUGUGAUUUCGUCGUCUAAGUGCGGCGUUUGAUUUCGCGUCUUGUCGCGGUGUUUGUUCAGUUCCUAUUGAAAGAUCUACAUCAAUCAAUUACAAAUUCAAGCAAUGAUUUGGAUGUCAACGUUGCAGAUCCGGAAGCAUGGGUAUUUCGGUGAUUUAGGUUUGAUCAUAUUAUUUGUAGGCAUUUUGCUGUUGUAUGCUAUUAACUUGGGUGCUGUGAGUUUGCUCGCAUAUUCACCCUUUACAUUUUUAGCGAUGUUUGUAUCUGAUGUACUCUAUCGAUUUGAAUGAAUGAAUAUCGUUUUGUUUUUGUAAAAUAAAAAGUGUUUUUUUUUUUUUUUUAUAUUUUUUAUUAGUGACAAAUAUUUGACCCAUACAUUUUUUAUGUAUUAAUGAUAAAUAUUUGUUCUAGUUUUCUAAAUUUAUAAUGACAAAUAUAUCUUAUGUGUUUAUCAUUGACAAAUAUUUGACACAUUUUUUUAUAUAUUUAUCAGUGGUAAAAACCUCAUAAAGAACCUAUGUUAAAUACUUGUUCCGUACUUUUUUAAUUGAUCAAUUACAAAUAUUAGUCCCAUGCUUUUUAAUAUUUUUUGUUCAAUUUUUUAAAAUAUUUAUCAAUUAAUUUAGGGUUAACAGGCCUUUACCCCCUACAAUGAUAGGCGAAUACUUGACCCUAGAGCUCUAAAAUGUGUUUUUGUUGGCUAUUCCUCCACUUAAAAAGGAUAGAAAUGUUACCAUCCUUCGUACAAACAAUUCUGUGUCUAGAGAUGUUACAUUUCAUGAAGAGGAAGCUUUUUUCAAACAACCUUAUCUUCAGGGAGAGAAUUUAAGAGAAGAUAAGGAAAUAAAUCAUGAAAUCCUUGCUCUUCCUAUCCUUGAGUUUGCUUGUAUCCUAAGGUUGACAUAACCUUAGAGAACCUUUCAAACCAUGCUCAGGGUGAUUGUUUCAAUCCAUAUAAUGCCUUUUUCAACCUGCAUAUAGAAUUGGCAGCAAGAUUUUUACAAUAUUCUGGCGGUACCUCCAUAUAGAUUUCCUCCUCUAGUUCCCCAUGCAGGAAAGCAUUUUUCACAUCAAAUUGCUGCAAUUCCCAACCAUAAAAGGAAUGGAAAUGCAAUAAUUGAAGCUUAUACUGAUGAUGACCAUGCGGGGUCAAUUACAGACAAGAGGUCCACUACUUGAUAUUGUACCUUUGUUGGAGGAAAUUUAGUAACUUGGAGGAGCAAAAAACCGAAAGUGGUGGCUUGCUCUAGUGUUGAAGCUGAGUUUUGAGUAUAACAUAAGGUAUUUGUGAACUACUUUGGCUGCAAAUUAUUUUAGAAGAUUUGAAGAUAAAAUUGGAUGGACCUAUGAAGUUCUAUUGUGAUAAUAAGUCAGCAAUCAACAUAGCUCAUAAUCCCGUUCAACAUGAUCGAACAAAACACGUUGAGGUGGAUAGGAAUUUUAUCAAAUAUUUUUAUAUUUAUUAGUGACAAAUAUUUAUUUCACGUUUUCGGAUAUAUUAGUGACAAACAUUUGUCCUAUGUUUGUUAUGUAUCAGUUAUUAAUAAAUGUCUUGUGUAUAUUUAUCAUUGAUAAGUAUGUGUCCCGUGUUUUUAUUUUAUUUUAUUUUUUAUAUUCUUCGAUCUUAAAGCAACGAUGAUAGAUCAAGACCUAGAGUGAUAAUUGGUGCCAUUUAACAAAGAGUUUGCAAGAACAUUCCCAAGAUUUUUAUUUGGAUGCAUGAAAUAUGGAUUUAAGGUAUCAUUCUGGUAACCUUUGUGAUGAUGAGAAUCGUGUCCUCCAUUGACACUUCCAGCAAUACUAUCCAUAGACAUGAUGAAUCAACGAAAGGGAUUCACAGAGAAAAGAAAGAAGAGAUAUUUUUACAUUCUUAUGACAUAACUAACUACACACUAACUAUGAUUAAGACUAGAGAUGACUAUAGUUAGGAUGUUACAACUAACUGUUAACUGCCUCAAUAACUUGCAGAGCAACUUACUUAGUGUUCACUAUGUUUUGUUGUUGACAAAAUUCUUAUUUGAUGUUUUAAAAAUUACAAACAUAUUAAAUUUAUUUCAUCUUGUUAUCUACUAACUUGUUCUGUGAUAAUUAUUUCAUGAGAAUGAUCACGACAACAUUCUGGUAUCAUAAGACAAACAAAGCAGUUACGUCAAAAGACAAAUCAGCAAAAAGGCAAAAUUUAGCUUUACAAGAAUAUUUAACUUUUGAAUUAUUAAUAUCAAGAUCAAGACAUUUAUAUGCCUUAUUAAAGGAAGACAUAUAAUGUUCUGUCGAAAAGAAAAAAAAAAGAUAUUUAAUCAUUGUUGAUUGGCAAAAUGAAGAAAGAAAUGUUUUGGGCCUUAAAGAAGAUUUUUUAUCCAUUAAGGAAAAGAAACAAGUCCAUUAAAGAAAAAUAUCUCAUAAAGGCUUUAAGCACAUGUGAAUUAAAUGUGACAUCAUCAAAAGGACAAAAGAAUGACAUAAGCAUGUCACUUCUGACAACUAUCAACAACUCAUUAUAGCCGGAUAACUCUCACGUGGAAGCAUAAAGUAAGCUGGACAUCCAUAACCUUCUGGAUGUGUAAAUUAACAUUCUAGUCGUGUUGAAGAAGAAAAGUGAAAUCAAUUGAAACUUUGGAUAUCUAUAAAAAUGUGCCCAACAACUCUAUUUUCAUAGUUUAUCACCAACACACUCCACAUCUAUAAAUACAUGAAGACAUGAAGAAUCAAAACAAGUGUUUUGAAAGCAAGCAUUCUCUCGAGUGAAAAUCAUCACUAUAUACAAACUCUUCACAAACAAACAAAUUCUAAGUUCUCUCAAUAUAUCAUUUGGAUGAUACUCAUUCAAAUUUGUUUAUUUAAAUCUCAAACAUGUGUUGAGAAUUUCAUUUGAUCCAAACCCACCUCAUCAUACAAAGUGUAUUGUGUUCUCAAGUCUAUUGCUAACAAUAUUUUGAGAAGAAUUGACAACCUUUCUUGUCCAGAAUUAAAAAAUUGUAGAAGCCUACUAAGGUUUAUUUUACAGGAUUUAACGAACUGAUCUGGUGUGAUCAAGAAUUUAUGGUGCUAGUCAUAAGUUUCUGUUAGCAUGAUACUAUAGUGGAUAAUCUUACACAAGGUGUGGGGACUGAAAGUAGCCGAGUUUGGUGAACUAUGAUAAAUCUCAGGUGUUAUUCUUCUUCCCUUUCUCUCUUUAAUACUUAAUAAUCUCUCCAAAAUAUUGUGGUCCUAAUUAAUCACAAUCAAAUUAAUCCAAUGUUUUCUGGUCCUAAAUUGUUUCAUUUAAUAUUAAUUAUACAGAUGCAUUCAGAACAUUCUGAUGCAAGAUAAAACAAUUACAUAAAUAACUAAAGACAAACUCACGUUUAAAAUCAAAUUAUAAUAUUAUUUUAUCAUUCUGUUUUAUUCUCCAGAACAUUCUGGUCCUUGUUAAAAUAGUUUUACAUUUCAGCUUAAUAUCAUUUUUCUCAUUCUUCUUAUAUAUUAAAUAUAUAAUCAUUUAAUCAAAAACAUUAUGGUCCUAGAUAAAAAAGAAUUGUUAUAUAUCAAACACUCUAAUCUAAUUAGACUAACAUUUACCAAGAACCUUCUCUACUAAACAAACUUAUUUAAGUUUCAGGAAUAAUUUUAAAAGGGUCACAAUUCACCUCCUCCUCUUGCGACGUUUCUUGCUACUUCAUGUUCAACAUAGGAUUUUAUAUCACAACCAAGCGACUUUUUCACACCCACACACCCAUUAGUUAUCUAGCUGUAAUAAAAGCAUGUAAUUGAAUGAAUUAAAUGAAAAAGGAGUUAGGGUUUCAAAUAACAACCAUAUAGAUUUAGGGGUGGCCCUGAGGGCAGGCAGGAGGGGCAGUAACCUAGGGCACCAUUUUUUAAGAGGCACCAAAAUUAUUAUUUUUACUUAGUAGUUAGUACUAUAUAGAUAUAUUUCUUUUUAAUUCGUUUUGAUUAAUUAUAUUAAAAAUAUAUUUUUAGAGAACUUUAAUUGUAAAUGAAUCUUUUGUAACAAAAACUGCAAGAAGGAAAAUAUUGAAAUAAAUAAAACAACACAAUUUUAUUGUUUCGUCCAUGACACCAAAAAUCUCAGAACCAGCCCUGAGAAAGACUAUAAUGUUGUGGGGCCGCAUCUUUUCUUUUCUUAACAUGAAUGUGAAGAAAGACGAGAGAUUAUAAAAUUUAGAUAUUUUCUACGCUGCCCUUCUCUCUCUUCAUGUUUGUCUUUUGCAAAAUAACAUCAUUGUAAAAAUUAAAUUUAGUAUCUUAUACUCCCUCCAUUCCUUUUCUUUUAAUGUUUUAGAACUUUAAAUAUAUUCCAAAACUUUUGAUGUUUUAGUGAAUUUAUUAUUGUUUUCUCAAGUUUACCCUUUUCUUCCGAAGCAUAAAGAAUAACCUUCAACCAAGACAUAAACUCAAAAAGAAAAUGUUUAAAUUAAUAAUAAUAUUGAUUUUUAUGUUUGUUUUUUAUUGAACACGUAGAAAAUUGGUUUUCAAACAAACAUAACGUUUGGGAGAGUAUGUAACACUUGAGUUCGAUUCUAGAAUUGUCUAUUUGGAAGGCAGCUCAAUCUUGUAUAAAAAUAUGUCUCACAUUCAACUUGAAAUUAAAUGUCAUAGCUUGGUUAAACUAGAGCCAUGGACAGAUAAAGAGACUAUGUGAUCAAAUGUGGCUAUUUUGAUACAAGUCAUUUUGCCUUUUAAAAAAGAAAAAAUGAAUAGAUUUAAAGCAAUUGGUUAACAAAUCCAAGUCACACCUCAUCAAGGAAGGAAAAGUCAGCAUUUACUUAGCAUUCACAUAUCAAGACUUUUUGUUUAUGUUAGGCAAUUGUCCUACCUCAGGAACAAAGAGAAGAGGCCAAAAAAUAAGGUUAAAUAAUGCAAAGUCUCUGAUUCGAAGUACUUUGACUCUUUUUGUGGAUUUUAGGGAUGUUUGGUGGGUAACCUACACCAUUCAAUCAUUCCCAUCAUAUAAUUAAAUGAAUCUCACUUAAUAAAAUCAAGAAUCAUAUCCUGUUCUUCAUCAAAAUCAUAUUCCAAACCAAAUGAGUGUAUGACAUACGCUACAUAAAUUAUAAUAGAGUCUUGUUAACCAUUGUUCGGACAAUGGUUAAGGAACUUAAAAGUAGUAUGUUUGCAUUGGUUUUAAUAACUUUUAACUUUUAAAAAGUUAAAUUUAUCAGUUUUUAUCAUUUUUCAAUACUAUAUUUAUAUUUUUAUCCUCCAAUACCUCAAGAGCAAUGAUUAGCAUUCUCAUCCGUAAUAAUAUGAUUUACAUUUAAGAAAUUCAAGCCACCUUAGUCAUUAUUAAUCAUAUCCUCGAUUUUGACUUGUAAUAGGAGCUAGAACAGCUAGCGCAACAAUAAAUUUUUUGACAAAUACAUGUCCAUCAACAAGGACAGACAAAAUAUUUAAUUUUGUAAGAAAAAAAACUCAUUCAUAAAAUUAUAAUCAUGUUAAUAUAUGCUCUACGAACACAUGUUAAGAAUUCAAUAAAUAAUAACCAUUUAGACACAUGCUCGGAAACCACAUCAAACCAUAAGACGAGGCAAUGAUAUGCAAAUCACAUUUGGAAUCCUUCAACAACCAUAUAGGUUUUUCACACAUUCGAAGACCGUUAACUCACCUCACAUAAAUACAGGUAAAUCACACUUAAAGGUUAGAGUGUUUACAGGUAGAUCAUCCUCCUCUGCGACUCAUCAAUUGUGUCAUCGAUUUGGUUUACCCUCAGCUUCUUUUUUAUUGAUUGAUUAUAACUUUUUAAUAUAUCAACGACUAUAAUUAUUUACAUUAUAUAUAUAUAUAUAUAUAUAUAUAUAUAUAUAUAUAUAUAUAUAUUUCAAAGUCUAAAUUAGUAAAUGUGCACUUUUUUAUUUGGACAAAAAAGUCAUUCACCUUUAUUAUUUAAAACUAUUACAUUGAGGGUUACUUUUGUAACUUUAUUAUAAAAUAAUGGCUAAAAUAUGGUUUUAGCCCAUGUAAAUAUGUCUCGUUUUAGUUUUAGUCCAUGUAAAAAAAAAUUGUUUUUGGUCCCUGCAAAAUUUUUUGUUUUUGAAAAUAGUUCCUCAGGGACUAUUUUCAAAAACAAAACAUUUUGCAGGGACCUUUUUAAAAAACAAAAAAUUUUGCAGGGACCAAAAACAAAAUUUUCUUUUUACAGGGACUAAAACCAAAACGAGACAUAUUUGCAGGGACUAAAACCAUAUUUUAACCUAAAAUAAUUGUUAACUUGCAUCACUUAGCUAAUUACUUAGAUCCACUUUUGUUAUGAACACAACAAUUACAAACAUUAAACAACUAAAAAAAAGACAAAAUAUUUGUGUUUUUAGUAAAGACAAAAUAUAGUUAACUUGCACCACUUAGCUAACUUAGACUCACUUUUAAUUUUUUUUUUAUUAAUUAAAUGCAAUUGAAAAAAAUAACCUUCUAUGAAAAACAAUUGGAAUAUGGGUAAUUGAAUUUUAUUUUUUUUUCAAAUAAAAAUGUGAGCACUACUAGAAAAAGCUAAGAUACCGACGAAAUUUAGAGACGGAAUUAGAGACGGAAAAAAUCAAUGAGAGAAGAAAAUAAGGUGUUUAAAAUUCAUUAUCUGGUAGAACAGGUCUCGUGCGGUUGUUUCAGCGGGGUUGAUUUAGUCCUCAAUCCGAAGCUUCAUUACACUUGAAGCUUCUUAGUCGUGUUGUGUAGAAAUUAAACCUUAAUAUUUUGACUCAAAGCUCGUCAUGUGUUACUAAUAUCUAUUUCUAUUAAGUAUAUAUUUGUAUAACUGUGCUACAAUCUAUCAAUGGAUAUAAUCUAUCCACCUGUUUAUUUUAUAAAGAUUAAUUAUAUGAUUGUUUUAAUACAAAUAAAGACCUUAAAAGUUAAAAAAGUUAUACUCCAUAUUUCAAUACUCAAAUUUCAUGGUUGUCCAAGUAAGUUGUAACAUAUACUCAAAUUUCAAAAUAACAAUUCGUUAUUCAACAAAUUUGAAAAUGAUGCAAUGAUAAUGACAUAUAAUCAUCUUAACAUCAAAAAUAUAGCACAUGUAGUUGGAAAAAAAAAAAAAAAAAAAACGCAUGUCAAAAGUGUGUACAUUUAAGAUCGAUAAGUCAUUGUAGGAGUAAACCUAGCCACUUGUUGUACAUACAAUAUGAUAUAGAUUUUGAGAAAUGUUAUUUGUACAACUAUUUUGUGACAACUUUCUCUUUCAUACUCACAUUAUAUUCUUACUCUUUCUCAUCCUUUUUCUCUCUCCAUUAUUUUUGACCAAUACCAAAAGAGAAAAAGAAGGUUGUCAUGAAAGUUGUAUCAAAUGGUUAGCUCGAAAGAUUUGUAUGUUACUUUACCACAUGAUUUUUUUUUCGAACAAGUCAAAAUGGAAUAUUAUAUCAUCAAAGAUGGUUCAUCUCGCAUAAGGUAUGCAAAAGAGAAACACCCACCAAAAAAUACAGCUAGAUGUCUGGUGCCAUAAAAGAGCACUCCUGAAGAAAAACAGAAUAAAACAAGGCUACAAUAAAACACCCAUACAAUGUAAAGGGUGCCGCCAACAGUCAUGGUAACUAAAAGCAUAAGUAGACUUGUUUGCCUUUAACCAAGAAAAAGACAUCAAUUUAAUAUUUUCCCAAUAAUUAAUUAUUACACCUCUCUUUAAAUAUAAUAUAUUCUUAAGUAGUUUUUUUGUCUUUGUUAUAUGACCAUUAAUUUGUAUAAUUUUAUCCCAAUUAAUUUAUAUUUUUAAUUAAAUUAAAGAUGCAUCUAGUAUAACUUCUGAAAAAUGGUUAAAGAGUUGAACAUCACGUCCUUAAGGAGCAUGAACAAACUUCUUAAAAAUGGUUAAAGAGUAUGAAUGUCAACAUGUAUCUAUCAACCAAUUUUUUAAUCAAACUAACCUGUUCCAUAUGAACAUAACCUCAGAUAUGGACCAGCUCCAUGCAUGAGUGUGAGUUAGCUUAAAACUUAUGUUAUAUCUAUCAUUCUUUCUAAUAAUUUUAUUGAAUGAAUUCUAUUUUGCCCGUGCAAAAAAAGAAGUAAAAAUGAACCUUCUAGGAGAGCAAGGAAAAAAUUACUGGUUAAUGGUGAUUUUGACUGGUUUCUUAACUAUGAAGUUAUGACCUUGCACCAACGUUAAGGACUAAGUAUUUGAUCUAUUAAAUUAGGGUUACGAAAGCUCUAGUUUUGCUAAAUUAUGAAAAUACUAGUUUUGUUUAUAAUAGUGAUCAGAGGUAUAUAUCAAGACAUGUAUAUUGAUUUUGCUAAAUACUACUAAAUUGGUGAAAUUGGAAUUCCUAAAGUUUAAUAUCCCUAUAUUAGACGAUCAUAUAUCAAGACAUGUAUAUUGAAUUUGCUAACUUUGAAAACAGCAUACAAACCAAUAUAUUAAAAUAAGAGCAGUGUCAACAUUUUCUGGCAAAUAAGCUAACUUAUUCUUUUGUUUACAUUUCAUUUCAAAUUCAUACCCAACUUGGGACGCAUUGGUCCAAAAAGCAUACUCACUAAUUCAAAGGCAAUCCAUUUUUUUAAUAAUAGCUGCAUGUAUCAUAAUACUUUUCACAUUUGUAAACUUAAUUUUCAAAGGCAACCAAGAUGAAUAGUUGAGGUAAAUUGGACAAAGAAAAAACCAUAUACAAAUACGUCUAUUCCUCUCCACCACCACCACCACCACCACCAUCUAAGCCAUACAAAUACGCUUCUCCACCACCACCAGUUUACAAAUACAAGUCCCCACCUCCACCCGUCUACUCACCACCACCACCACCAGUUUACAAGUACAAGUCCCCACCUCCACCACCAGUUUACAAGUACAAGUCCCCACCUCCACCCGUGUACUCACCACCACCACCACCAGUUUACAAGUACAAGUCCCCACGUCCACCCGUUUACUCACCACCUCCACCAGUUUACAACUACAAGUCCCCACCUCCACCCGUCUACUCACCACCUCCCCCGGUUUACACGUACAAGUCACCACCUCCUCCCGUCUAUUCACCACCUCCACCAGUUUACAAGUAUAAGUCUCCUCCUCCUCCUGCUUACUCACCACCUCCACCACAUUAUAUCUACUCUUCACCACCUCCUCCUCCUCCUCCUUACCACCACUAAAUGGUGGUUUACGAUAGUAUCCCACCGUAUACUUCUUCCUAUGUACAACCCACACAAAAUACAUAAUAUUUAAAAUAUUUUUAUAUAAUUCAAUUACAGUGCUUAUAAUAUUAAUCCGAUAAAUAUCUAGUUGGGCAUAGCUUCAAAUAAAAAAAUUUGGUAACACACAUAAAUGAUAAAAUUUACCAGAUAAAAAUUUAGUGACAUCAUAUCCUUUCUUUUUUAAAUUUUAUCAUUGAUGUGUGUGCGUUUAAAUAAAGUGUUGUUGCUUUUGGAAAUAGGUUUAAAUGCGAAACUACAUAUACCUUUUAAAGUUUUAAUUUAAAAAAUUGGAUUGUUAAAAUAUUAUCAUUGGCAAUUUGUAACAAAAAAAAUGAGACCUGAUGCAGAAGGUGAGUCAUGAGGUCAUCCACUAUACAAUAUGAUCACAUUAUGAUCUUAUUAAUUUUGUUUGAUUUAAAAUUUCAAGCGAUUAAUAAUCCUAAUAAACAGUUUUAGCUAGAUUAUAUAAUGUUUAAGGCAAAACCAUUUUCUUAAUGAAAGAUAUUGAUAUAUUUAUGUGUACAUAUACUUUGCAGGGUUUGAGGAAUAUAAUGGAAAUAAUAAAGAGAAGACAGUGCAAAGCAGGAAAGAUGCAUCAAUUCACAAUUAUAUAGCACAAUAAAAACAACAACCUAAGCAGUUUCCACGCACUCUGAUUCAGAAAAUGUCACUCCUUUUUUCUUCAUUUUAUUUAUGAGAUUAUUAUUCUCAUUAUUGUGCUUUGAUGUUUGAAUUUAUACUGUUGUAAAGCACUGUGUGUAAUAUUAUUCAAAUAAAUAGAGAACGAUUCUGAAAUUUGUCAUAUUGUAAAGAAUUGAAUAUAUACGGUGGCAGAGCCAAUAAUUUUAUCGAGUUUGAAUAAAAAAUUUACCGCAGAUUCACAUGCGACAUAAUAUAUAAAUAGUCAUAAAUCGAAAUAAAAUAGGCUCAUCAUUUUAUCGAUAAAAAUUACAAUUUAUUUGAAAUAAGAAAGAUGAAACAUAACCUGUCAAUAAUGUGCUAAAUAAAAUUAGAAGGUAAAUGCCCUUCCCGAGACCUCUUUGCGGUGAAUGUUCGAAUAAUAUCAACAACAUCAAGUGACUUGAAUUUCUCCCACUCGGUGUAACAUAUCAUCAAGUCAUUGAACCACACAAUGUUGAUCUUGUUGGUAACAAUUUUUUCUCACGGGCUUAUAAGAUUAUUUUACCAGCUUAUUGACAGGGCUUGAUAACUGAUGGACUUUCAACUUUUGUUGAUGUUUGUAAUAACUUUGGCGCACCCGCUAUUGUUGAAGAUCCACAAAUUAGAAGUUAAAAUCUGAUUCAUUAUGCUUUGAUGUAGAAAUGAUUGUAAGUUUUUUUGGGUAUGAAGUGAUUGUAUGUCUUUUUUUUUUGUCUAAUAAGCUAUUAUAAAUAGUGAUUCAAAUUUUGUUACCAUAAAUUAAAUGAGCAAUGGAGUAUAUGUAAAUUUUGAUUUAUGCGAGUAUUGAGUAUUUCCGUGAGUAUUGGUUUGGAUGAAUGGUAUAAUAGUUCAUAGUUAGGGAGAAUUAUUCUAAUUAAGCCACUUCAAGAAUUUAUUCUAAAAAUUGAUUAUUGUAAUCAAUUUUAAAUUCCAAUAAUAUUGAUUAUAAUAUUUUAUUAUAUUUAUUAAACUAAUUUUAGUAGUAAUUUUAUGAAUUAUUCCUUUUUAGAAUUUAUAGUAGAAUAGAAAAUAUAAAAUAAAAUAAAACAAUGAUAAGAUUUAGUGACAGCCGCAACCGCAGGUAUAGGUCCGUAAUGUUUUUAAAAUGGUCUACUUGGAAUUACAUACGUUUUGUCCGUAGGUAAAGGUGGAAAAUAUGCAGCGACAUCCAUUUGACAAUGACAGACGGAUUUAGCUACGGAAAUUUAUCCUAGAGUGACGGAUUUUUGUUGUCACUACAAGUUAAAUUUCUUGUAGCGAUACAAAGAAAGUAUCGGUUAAGCCCGGGCAUGUACCCAGACUAGAUGGGUUGUAAAACCGCUCCUGAAAAUAUACAGAAUACAUGCAUGAUUCAAAAACUAUCUAAUUUUUCUGGAAAAAAGGCUAAACUGCAGUUUUGACCUCCUAACUUUGUAAAUGUUGGGAUUUUGGCCCCCUUUUAAAAAAAUGAAAAUUUUCCUCCCCUAUGUUUUAGCCCCUUUGCAAAAGUGACCAUUUGGUCAAUUUUGACCGGGUCAACACGGAGGUGGCACUUCAUUAAUGGUGCGGGCACGCUACAUGUGUAUUUCGCAAAUUUUUUAAAUCAAAAUGCCACUUGUGUAUUUACUUGAAUUAAGAAAAAAAAAACUAUAUAAAGGUCUUGCACGUGUGAAGUCUUUCAGAUUCUAGGGUUAAAAAAUUUCCCAAAUAUUAACAUCAAUGAAAAACCACAAACCCCUAAGUUUCCAAAUCAAAUCUUCAUCCAUAAUCUCCUUCCCAAAUUGUUUCUGAAUUCGAAUAUCCUUCAUAAAUCGAUUGUCAGGUUUUUCUUCAUCUUUGUUUGUUGCGAAAAUGAAAUGGGUUGAAGAUGGAAAGGCGGCGACGAGUACAGGUUCGAAGAAGAAGAAGAAUAAAGAUGCGACAGGGAGUACAGGAACAAAGAAGAAGAAGAAGGAUGCGACAACGACUAAAGGUUCAGAGAAGACGAGAGAUUUGAAUAUGGAAGUUCAAUCAACUCAAGGAAACAUGUUCAAUGGAAAGAUUCCCGACAUGGAUGCUUCAUAGUAAGCGUUUUUUUGUUUUCAUAUGUCUAUUAACUAUAAAGUAAAGCUCAUGUUACAUUAUUUCUGAAUAAAAAAGGGUUGUUGGACCCAGAAACAGUUGAAGAUGAAUGGUUACAUGCCAUUUUUCGUUUUCCGAUCUGCAAACACACAAAACAAAUCGACCUGGAAGAAAGGAUGUAGAGGAAGAAUCGAUUUCAGAUAGGUAAUGUGAAGGAUGGUUGAAGAAGAUGAAGUUUCGAUUAUGGAGAAGAAUGGAUGAAGAAGAGCGAAUGAAGAAGAAAGGUUGAAGAAUUGGGGGUUUUUAAGGUUGGAGAUUUUUACCGUUGGAACUCUCACGUGCCAAUCCUUUAUCUAUUAUUUUUUUUAAUUCAAGUAAUACAUAGGUGGCAUUUUUAUUUUAAAAAAAAUGGCAAAAUACACAUGUGGCGUGCCAACACCAUUAAUGAAGUGCCACCUCCGUGUUGAUCUGGUCAAAAUUGACCAAAAUGUCACUUUUUCAAAGGGGCUAAAACACGGGGGGAGGGGGGGCAAAAUUUUGAUUUUUUUUUUAAUAGGGGGACAAAAUCGCAACAUUGACAAUGUUAGGGGGGACAAAAUCUGCUCCUUUCCGUCCCUUUGGUUUCGAUAAGAGUGGUUAAGUACCAUAUUGAGUGGUUUUAAUCGAGCGAUUAAGCCAUAUCUUUUAGGUGUAUAUACUCGAACAAUUACAUAUUGUGCAAUACGUGAUUGAAUAGUGAUAUGAGCUGUUUUAUUCUGGAGGCGACGCGGUUGUUAGUCUACAUUGCACAAACUUGGGUAGUGCCGCGAAACGUCUUAAAGAGAGCGACCUGGUCGUGACUCAACCUGAUAAUUUAUUCGGUACUAGUUUCUGAUUUGUAAUCUCAACAAAUAUCUCAUGAGCUAUAUUCUUCGGUAGUAGGCUUCAGUUUAUGUCCAACAAUAUAAAUAGGGGGAUUCGAAGAAUCCUAACCGUUGCUUACUUUUCUGUAACCAAAACAGGUAACUUGCUAUGUUGCAAACAGAUAAACAUUGCAAUCUCUAACCUUUAAACUCUUUUAUUUUAUAUCGUCACCUUAAAAUAAGUAACGUGAAUUGUUAGGACGAAAUGACAAUCCAUGUGGAUACGAUACUGUACUUAUCACUUUAUUACUUGGUAAACGAUUUGGUACACUUGCAUAAUCCGCACAUCAAUAAUCUUUGUUUGUUAGAAGUUUCUUGCUUGUAUGCUUGAGCAUUGAAAGUCUCUUGCUUGUGUGGCUGAGCAAUUGUAAUCUUGUAUGAUUAUAGUAAAAAAUCUCUUGUAAGUGACAAGGGUAUUAAACUACUUCGGGAUUGAUACCUUGAAACGCUUACCAGAAGGCCAUCGACAUAUAAAUAGACUUUACACAUCUUGUGCUCCAAUGUGUACCUUUAAUAUAAGUCAUUUUGCCUAUUAAAAAAGCAAAGAUGAAUUGAUUUAAAAGUUAACAAACCCAAGUCACACCUCAUCAAGGAACAAAAAGUCAGCAUUUACUUAGCAUUCAUAUAUCAAGACUUUUGGGUUAGGUUAGGCAAUUGUACCACAUCAGGAACAUUUAGAAGAGGCCAAAAAAUAAGGUUAAUUAAAUAAUGCAAAGGCUCUAAUUCGAACUACUUUGACUCUUUGUGUGGAUUUUAGGUAUGUUUGGUGGGUAACCUAUAUCAUUCAAUCAUUCCCAUCAUAUCAUAUAAUUAAAUAAAUCCCACUUAAUAAAAUUGAGAAUCAUGUUCAUGAUCAAGUUGGUGUAUGCUUAGAACAGUCUCAUGGUAUAAUUAAUUUGUCCCUACUGAACAAAAUCAUAAUUUAGAAACAUUCAUAAAUUAUAAAUAAUAAUACAAUCUUAGUCAUUUAUUAAUCAUAUCCUCAAUUUUGACCUGCAAUAGGAGCUAGCACACAGCUAGCGCAGAAAUAUAUUUUUUCCAAAUUCAUGUCUGUUACUUAUAGUUGUCAAAAAAAAAAAAAAUGUCUAUUACUUAUAGAGACAGAUCAAUUAUUUAUUUUUUACAAGGACAAAAUUCAUACUUAAAAUUAUAAGACUAAAAGUAUAUAAAAUACUUUAAUUAGAGUCUAUCAUUGACUAAGGUAAAGGUUAGAGUUUUUACAGGUAGAACAUUCCAUCAACUGUGGUUUACCCUCGACUUCUUUUUUAUUUAUUUAUUGAUUAUAACUUUUUAAUAUAAAAACAACCAUAUUUUUUAAAUACAAAUAACUAUAAUCAGUUUUCUUAUUUAUUUGCAGCUUAAUUCAGUUGGUUUGAAUAAUGCAUAAUAUAUGCAAGGUCCGUGGUUCAAAUCCCGGCCACCACAAAAAAAAAUGUAUUGUAAAAAAAAUGUAUAAUAUAUAUAUAUAGACACACACUAUAUCUUUUUCAACUUUUUUGGGCUGACUUUUUCUAUUUCUAAAAAUGUCUUCAAUUUUCAAUACAAAAACACAUGUAACAAAUAGAUAAGAACAAACGUAAAUAUUAAAAAAAUGUAACAAACUCGAUAUGAAUAUAUAUAUAUGUGUGUGUGUGUGUGUCUGGUUUUUUCCUUUAUCAUUUAAAAAGUGUAACAAAUAGAUGAGUAUAUUUAUACUUACUUUUUCAUUAUCUCAAUUAUAUCUUUAAACAAUUUUUUUUUCUAUAAUAAAGAUUGUUGUUUUUAUCAUUAAAAAAAAAUUAGAUUAUAUUUUUUUUGUUAUAUUGUUGGUGUCAUUGAAAUAGAUAAUCAUUGUUAGUUUGAUUUGUUAUAACUUAAAGCAACAAACAUUUAUGUUUUGUUAGAAUAAAAAUCAAAAUUUAUUAAAAAAAACAUGCGUUCAUAAAUUGCAAUAAAAAGAAGGGAAAUAGAUGAGUUUGAACAGACUUUUUCAUUACUUGUUUUAACCUUCAUUUAAAAUAUUUUAUUUACAAUUUUAUCAUUUAAUAAUAUUAUUUUAAAUUUUAAUCAAAAAAUUGAAUCCUAUUAAAAUAGGAAAUAUGCCACUACAAUAGAAACAAUAUUAUCAAUAUUAUAUAAGAAGAGGAUAGAUAUUUUGAGCUGAAUUUUUAUAAUUCCAAUUAUAUUCUUAAACAAAUUUUCUUAUAUUAAUGUUAUAUUGUUGGUGGUAUUAAAAAAUAGUAUUUAUGUUAUAUUUGUUAAAUUAUUAUUAUUAUUGAAAAAGAUAACAUGUUUUUCUGAGUUUAUACUUAUAAUUUUGUUACAUACUCUCGUUUCUUGUUUUUUUUUAUUAAAUAUAUAUAAACAACGGAAGUGACCCUUCCCGUAUAAGAUGUGUUAAGGAAGGUCAACUAGAGUUUGUACAAAGACAGCAAAGCCAAAAACAUAGGAGAACUGCCGCAAAACACGAAAGAUAUAAUAAAUAAGGGUUGUUUUUUCUUUCUUUAAAAAAAAAACAAAAAGAAAUAAGGGUAGUGUUAACUUGUGCUUUUAAGACACAAGUUAAGAAUUUAAAAAUGGAAUUAAAUCAUAAAUUAUGUCUUGAAAAGAUAAGAUUUUGAAUUUCUAGAAUAUUGAAUGCACAAUUUUCAACAAAAUAUUUCUAUUUUUAGUUUCUUAACUUGUGCCUUGAGUACAAAAAUUAACAUUUCCUUGCAAAUAAAUGCCCAAACAAAAUAAAUGUAAGUAUACUCUCGUUUCUAGUUUGUUUAAUAUCUAUUUCUAUCAAGUAUAUAUUUGUAUACUUUAUGCUACAAUCCAUCAAUGGAUAUCAUAUAUACAUUCACCUGUUUAUUUUAUAAAGAUUAUGGAACAAUUAUAAACACAAGGAAAAAGUAGAAAACAGCGAGAGAAAGAAAGAGAGAACACAAAAUAAUUUGUUUACCCAGUUCGGUUCAAAUUGACCUAGUCCGAGGCAGAGAGCAGCCCUCCGUUCCACUAUAAUGAUGAGUAACUUUACAAAAGAGAUAUCAAUGAGUUACAAGAAUAAGUCUCCAAACCUAAUUGUACCCAAAGUCUCAAUCUCUUCCCGUGAACAAGAGACUCAAUCCUAAUAGUGUUUCCCAAGGUGAAUCAACAACAACCCUAGUUUCUCCCGCUUAGAGAAAUCUCUCUAAAACCUUGGUUUGUUGUCUGUUUCUAAACCCUUGUUUUCAGCCCCUUCUAUCUCAAGGUUUACAUGUGAUACAAGGUUUAUAUUUAUAGUAAAAGUAAUCGCUAAAAAAUUGGAACAAAUCUCACGCUGAAAAGUACAUUUUAUUUUUAUGCAUCAGUGUAAAAUCGUACUACGAUUUUCCAAAUCGUAUUUCGAUUUUUCCAAAAUGGAAGUGCCAAAUCUGAUCCAAAAAUCGUACUACGAUUUUCCAAAUCAUGCUACAAAUUUGACAGCUUCCAGAUUUUAAUUUUGAGUCACUUUUACAACAAAGACCUUAAAGUUUGUGGUAUUAUAUACUUAAUAUAAUACUCCCAUGGCAACCUGAUUAGCUCCCUUGUUAUUAGAAAGUUACACGCAAUUUCAGGGUUUGGUUGUAUUAUAUCCUGUCCAGCUAAGUUGUAACAUACUCAAAUUUCCAAAUAAAAAUUCGUUAUUCAACAAAUUUGAAAAUGAUGCAGUGAUAAUGACAUAUAAUCAUCUAACACAUGUAAUCAUAUAACCAGUUUGGCUAGGUGAUACUUAUGGUAGUUGGACAAAAAAAAUAUCACAUGUCAAAUGUGUGUACAUUUAAGAUUGAUAAGUCAUUGAAUGAGAAACUUAGCCACUUGUUGUACAUACAAAUAUUUGUACAACUUUUAGAUAAUUUUCUAUUUUAUAUUCACAUUAUAUUUUUACUCUUUUUUUUUCUUUUUUUUCUUUAUUGUUUUUUAUCAAUAAAAAUAGAGAAAAUGAAAAUUAUCAAAAAUAUUGUAUCAAAUGGUUGUUCAAAUAUUAUUGCUCAAAAUAUACAAUAUGAUAUAAUUUUCCAGGAUCGAAAGAUCUAAAUAUGUUCCUUUCCCACAUAAUUAAUUAUUACACCUGUCUUUAAAUAUAAUAUCUUUUUUUUUUUUAAUUUUUAGUAGUUCUCAUGUCUUUGUUAUACGACCGUUAAUUUGUAUAAUUUUAUUUCCAUUAAUUUAUAUUUUUUUUAAUUAAAUCAAAGGUGCAUCUAAUAUACUUUUUUUUUAAGAGGCUAAAAUGAAAUACAUUACCAAAACAAGAUAUUUUUCCUAGCACAAGAUGUACAAAGGAAGAACAAUAGAGUCAAUAGAAUAUGUACAAUCAAGCAGAAAGAAAGCACCAGAGACCUAUAAGCAUGAAACAGAACUAAGUAGUGCCCAAAAUAACUAAUGGACUAAGCAACAAACCAUGAAAAUUAAACGAAAGAGAGACAAGUUUCGCCUUCAACCACGUAAAGGAAAGAACCUUAAUCUAAUAUAACUUCUUAAAAAUAGUUAAAGAGUUGAACAUUACCACCUUAAAGAGUAUGAACAAACUUUUUAAAUAUGGUUAAACAGGAUGAAUGUCACGUAUUUACAGUACAUAUAUCUUUGGUUUUUAUAUGUGUUUAGUCUCUGUAUAUGGGGUCAUUUAAAAAAUUAAUCAUUUAAAAUGGUCUCUACAUUCCUUCAUUAUGACAUUUUGCCCUCCCAAAAAUUAAUCAUUAAAAAUUUGGUCCCCCCUACUCAAUCACUGUCACGUCACUGGAUUAGCUGACGUGGUACAUUGACUCAGCAAAGUUUGAUGUGAAGUGACAAAAAUAGCCCUAACACUCUGUUUGGUAUGAGAGAAUUACAGCAGAGAGAGAUAUUGAAGAGAGAAAGAGAAGAGAAAUAUGGUAUUUCUCUUGUUUGGCAAAGGCAAGAAAGAGGGAGGAGAGAUAAGUUUUGCGUGGGAUCCACGUGUUUUUUGUUCGCCCCUAUAAACGAAGAAAGAAGAAAGAGGAGAGAAAUAUACAUUUACUCCCUUUGCCUUUUAUACCCUUCAAUUUAAGACACAACACACCUUUUUUUUUUCUCAUUACUUUGUUUUUAUUCUUAAUAGGCUUAUCUAAAAAUUAUUUCAAGGACAUUUGUACUUUAAAAAAAAAAAAAUUGAAGAAGCUAAACUAACCCCCUCAAAUUGGCACUAGAGAGAAUCGAACUUGAAACCUUGAGGAGGAGCACACUCCCAGGUCCCAAGCCAAUACCACUAGGCCAACCCAAGUGGGUUUGUACUUUUAAAAAUUAAUCACACUUCUCUCUCUUCUAUUUCUCUUAAUUUUAACCAAACAAUACCUUAAAUCUAUUCUAUUUUUCAUUUUUUUCUCUCUUCUCAUACUCUCUCUCACCUAUUUCUCUCUUCUCAAUUUCUUCUUUCAACCAAACACACCCUAAGUAAUUUCGCUGCCCUCUUAUGGAAGGAGGGGCAUUUACUUUACAAGUAAAUAAAGUAUCUUUUUUAAUUUAAAAUUUCCUCUUUAUGGUUUUCUUAACUAAUGUCCUGGGUAGGGCUAGACAAGGACCCGCGACCCGGCCCAACCCGAAAAAACCGAAGAAAAAAAACCGAGCUGAGUGGGUUAAAGCAGGUCCGCGGGUCAAACGUGUCAUAAAUGCGGGUUCACAAGGGUAUACAUGGGCAGAGGCGGGUAACGGACCUUCACCUGCGGGUACCCGAACCCGCCAGUAUUGGAUAAGUAAAAACGACGUCGUUUUGAAGAGUGGGGAGACCACUAACCCUAGAUCUAACCCAUUCAUUUCAUUUCUUCUAAAAAAUUCUCUCAUUCACCUCACACUCUUUCACCUUCCUCUUCAAACCCUAGUGCCGCCGCCGCAUCUAACCACCACCACCACACCAUCAAAUCCUCCUACCAACAUGAAUCACCACUUUCCAACUUGAUUCCCUUUGUUUUACGCCGUUCUCUGUCAAUCCACGCAGAAAAAUGGAGGCAGAUCCUGAAACUCUCUCUCACUCUCAGUAGCUAACACCACUGUAGAACCGUAAAUCGCCGUCGUUUUUGUUUCAUGAAUCACGUCUCUGCUCUGCAUAUGCUUCAGAUCUAAAGGUUAGAUAUUUUGUUUUUAAUCUUUGUAAUUUUUUAUUUUUAUUUAGGGUUUAUGAGUGUCUCACCACAUGCUUUUGUUUUUGUUUGAUGAUUCACAUCCAUGCUCCGCGUAUGCUUCAAAUCUGAAGGUUGGUUUUUGUUACAUUUUUCAUAUUUUGUGCUUUGAUUUUUUCAAUUCUUGCUUCUAACAUUUUUUUUUUGUUUCAAUCUCAUCUCUGCUGCUUAUGCAUUUGCUGAAGAUUUUUUUUUUGUUUCAAUCUCAUUUUCUCAGACCGGCUUAGGAAACUUCCAUAUCACUGAAUAUUUUUCCAGAUCCGAGAGGUAAUCUUCCUUCUUGACAUCUAGAUCUGAGAGGUAAUGAUUUAUCUUAAUAUAUUUAGUUUUGUAUUUGUUGAGUUUAUCUAUGUCUUUGAUGUAUAUUUUGUUGAGUUUAUGCAUGAUUAUUAAUGUCUAUAGCUUCUGACUUGAUUAUGUUUAUGCAUACUUUGUUGAUUCUUAUACUUCUUCCUUGGAGUUCAUUUUUUCUUUGUUUCUUUCUUAUCCUAAUGGUUUGUUGUUUAUCUAUUUAUUUUGUUUGUAGUAUUCUAAUGGUCCAUUAAUUAUCUUGUUUGUAUAGACACAUGAAAACUGAUACUGCUAGUGUGAAUCCUUUGGCUCAAAUUCCAAUUCUAGUGCAAGGCCAAGGACCUGAACAUGCUAAGGUAGUGCUAAAACUAAAGAAAAGAAAACCUGCUAGACCUCCUUCAAUGGUUUGGAGACAUUUUAUGAAGAAAAAAGACACUGCCUUUUGUAACUAUUGCUUCACUUCUUUUGUUUCAAAUGCUUCCAACCAUCGAACUAACAACAUGCUUAAACACAUGAUGAUUUGUCCAAAAACAUGAAGGUAGUUUUUUUAUUACUCUGAGUUAUGUUGAUUUAGUAAUUUUAUUGUAACUUUGUAUUUGAUUUAGUCUAUUUUAACUCUAUUUUGGUAGAUGUCUUUGAUGUUAGUUUGCUAGUGUUAUAUUUUGUGGCUUUGAUUUAUUAGUACUAAUGUAUAUUUUUUAUAUUGUUUUUCACAGGUUAACAAUAUUCUUACUUGCUAUGAUGGUAUCUCUUGAUCUAUUGUGAAUCAAGAUAUACCAAGGAGGUGUUAUUUUUUGUUAUUCAGAUCCAGUUUUAGUAUUAUUAUAUUCAAGACCACUAUAUUUAGUUUUUUAUUUAUUAAGGAUAUGUAAAUUGUUAAACUUAUUUUUAUUGGUUGUGUAAGUUAAAUUAAGGCUCGAUAUCAAAUGGGAAAAUGAGACAUCAUCAUCCCCCUUUAACAAGCUUCUUAAAGGAAAAAAUUUAACAAAAUUAUGACAAUAUGAUCUAAGUUAAAUAAACAUACAAAAUGGUUUAAUACAAGAGAAAAUGAAACACUACAAAAUUUGUUGGGGCAGAAAUUCUAAAUGGCACAUUAAAAAUGAACAUAAAAAAUGGUCCAUUACAGUGAAAUUAAAAAUAAAUCGCAACAAAAUUAAUUGGGCCAGAAAUGGUUGAAUGACCCAUUAAUUGGUCCAACCCGUUUGAACCCAACCGUUUAACCCGUAACCCGAUUCACCCGAACCCAACCAAUCCGACUCCAUUAUUUGGGUAGAAAUGGGUGUGUAUUCUACACCCGCAGGUUGGGCUGGAGUAGAGGUUUGGACCCGAACCCGCCCGAUGUCCACCCCUAGUCCCGGGGCACUGGUUAACAUAAACCUAAAACAAAAAUAGAAAAUAAUGACCUAAGUUUUCUAAUAAUUGAUAUUUUAUUAGCUUAAAACUUUUGUUAUAUCGAUCAUUCCUUUCCACUCUUUGUUCUUGGUUGUGUUUUAAUGAAAAAAAAGAAGUAAAAAUGAACCUUCUAUGAGAGCAAGGAAAAAAUUACUGGUUAAGCCUUAUGACCUUGCACCAACUCUAAGGACAUUAAUUAUGUUAUAUAGCAAGAUAUCCUCUCAUAAAUUGGUGAAAUUGGAAUUCCUAAAGUUUAGUUUCCCUAUAUUAGACGAUCAUAUAUCAAGACAUGGAUAUUAUUUUGCUAACUUUGAAAACAGCAUACAAACCAAAAUAGUACGUAUUAAAAUAAGAGCACCGUCAACAUUUUCUAGCUAAUAAGCUAACUUACUUUAUUCUUUUGUUUACAUUUCAUUUCAAAUUCAUGCCCAACUUGGGACGCAUUGGUCCAAAAAGCAUACUCAUUUAUUCAAUGGGAAAAACUUUUUUUAAUGGGUCUUGCUGACCAUUGCUCGAUGGCAAUGGUUAAGGAAGGCAAAAGUAGCAUGUUUGUAUUGAUUUCAACAACAUUUUGACUUUUAAAAAAUUAAAUUUAUCACUUUUCACCAUUUACCAAUGCUAUAUUUCUAUUUUUAUCCACUUAUCCAAUGCGCCAAACGCAAUGAUUAGCGUUCUCAUUUUUUAAUAAUAGCUGCAAUGUUACAUAAUCGUUUUCACAUCUGUAUACUUAGUUUGUCUUAAAAAGACAGUCACAUUGAAUAUUUAAUUAAAAUUUUAUUUUUAUUCAAUUAUACACUAUAAUUGAUAUUAAGCGCCAUUAAAAAAAUUAUUAAGUGGAUAACAAAUUAUUAUUCACUAUAAUUUUACUAUAAUUAUUAUUCUUCACUUUGAAUUACCAAGGUAAUUUAAUAAAAUUAAUAUUCUAUGUGACGUAUUUGUAAUUACUUCCUAAUUCACGUGAAAUGAUUUACUUUGCUAGUUAUUAGAAUUUUAAUUUAUUAUAAUAUUUUUCUUUUUGCUGUUGGAUAAUAGGUGAAUUAUAAAAUGUGUCAAAUCAUAGUACACCAACCAAGAUGAAUUGUUGAGGUAAAAUGGAUAAAGAAAAAACUAUAUAAAGGGUACUACUAUCUUUCAUAAGAGCAACAACAAAACACACUUUAGGAAAAUAUGAGGUUCCAAAUGGCCUCCAUUACUCUUACUAUUGCAUUCACGAUAAUCUCUCUUAGCCUGCCAUCCCAAAUUUCAGCAAACAAUUACGUCUAUUCAUCUCCACCACCACCAUCUAAGCCAUACAAAUACGCUUCCCCACCACCACCAGUUUACAAGUAUAAAUCACCACCCCCACCUGUCUACUCACCACCUCCACCUGUCUACUCACCACCACCACCAGUUUACAAGUACAAGUCACCCCCUCCACCUGUCUACUCACCACCUCCACCAGUUUACAAGUACAAGUCCCCACCUCCACCCGUCUACUCACCACCUCCCCCGGUUUAUAAGUACAAGUCACCACCUCCUCCCGUCUAUUCACCACCUCCACCAGUUUACAAGUAUAAGUCUCCUCCUCCUCCUGCAUACUCACCACCUCCACCACAUUAUAUCUACUCUUCACCACCUCCUCCUUACCACCACUAAAUGGUGGUUUACGAUAGUAUCCCACGGUAUACUUCUUAUUACAUACAACCCACACAAAAUACUUUUAUAUAAUUCAAUUACAGUGGUUAUAAUAUUAAUCUGAUAAAUAUCUAGUUAGACAUAGCUUCAAAUAAAAAAAUAUUUGGUAACACAUAUAAAUGAUAAAAUUUAGCAGAUAAAAAUUUAAUGAUAUCAUUUAAUAUCUUUUCUUCUUAAAAUUUUAUCAUUUAUGUGUGCACGCCCAAAUAAAGUGUCGUGGCUUUUGAAAAGUUUCUUAUAAACCUUGUGGAAAUAGGUUUAAAUGUGAAAUUACAUAUACUUUUUAAAGUUUUAAUUUAAAAAAUUCGAUUGUUCAAUCUUUUAAAAUAUUAUUAUUGGCAAUUUGAAACAAUAAAGUUGAGACCUGAUGCAGAAGGUGAGUGCAUGAGGUCAACCACUAUAGAUUAUGAUCAUAUUAUAGAACUUAGCUAGAAAAGAAAAAAUAUAGUUAUAUGCUUCUUAUUAAUUUUGUUUGAUUUAAAAUUUCAAGCGAUUAAUAAUCCUAAUAAACAGUUUUAGCUAGAUUGAAUAAUGUUUAAGGCAAAACCAUUUUCUUAAUGAAAGAUAUUGAUAUAUUUAUGUGUGCAU
rnacentral:lncRNA from 1 species